UUUUUUUCUUGUGUAUAUAGCCAAUUGUUCCUUGGUCUACAACAUUACCCCUUUAGUCUCUAAAAGAUUAUUCCUUACGUGGCCAAUUAAUCCAUUCGUCUAUAUAAACACAAUAGAAAUUAUUCCUUACAAAAUUACUCCAUUAGUCUUAGAAGAUUAUUCCUUGUGUGUAGGGUAAUUACUACGCUUGCCUAUUUUGACACAAUUUUGAAAAGUUAUUCCCAACAAAAACCAAAUGGGAUACCAUCAAAUUCUCCAUUCUAGUAAAAUAACAUGUAAACUAGUUAGUAGCAAAUAUGAAUUGAGCUGUAGGAUCCAGCAGUAUUACUCUCAAUGCGAGUGAUGUUUGUUUCAACACAUAUUCCAAAGCCAUAAUGAUUGUAUUGUAUUGCACUCCUAAAAAGGGGAUCGGUUAACCCACUGUUCAAUUUGGGUGCAUAAUGAUUGAAACGGACUGAAUCCUUACAAAACCAAUGGCAAAGUCAUUGAAAUGUAUGCAGAAGAUGAAGCAACAGACUGAACCGGAAGAAGAUAUCGGCGGCGGCCUUCAUGACGUAGUCGUACAACUCGUUGGCCCGCCACCAUCGAAAGGAACGAGUACAUCUUGCCGCCGUUGAGGUUCUCCUCGAACCCGUCGAGGAUGAUCACGUCGUUGUGGUGAGGAUCCGAGCAGCACCAUCUCGCGCUGGUCGUCCUUCUACAGCCGGCGGAAGACGAAGCGGUACCCCCAGCACGAGCUAGAGCCCGUACACCAUGCACAGCAGGUGGCGGCGCUCGCACAGGUCCGCGCGGGUGAGCGUGCCAAUGAGCAGCCAGAAGUCAACUUCCGGACCAUGGCCGGCUCCGCGAGGCGCGAGGAGGCCGCCUCACCGGUCCACCAGGCCGCGCCGCCAUUGGACCCGUUGACUGCCUUGGCUCGACGAGGACGGUGAUGGAACCAUCUUGCUCCAGCCACCGAGGAUCACCGCGUCAUGCAUGCAAAUCGGGCGAUAGAAGCUAACUGGAAAACCAUGAAUUUCUCUAACAAUCUGUGUGCAUGCAAAUUGGAAAUCGGAGUGGGGUACAGGUGGGGGCUAACCUGCCGAUUGCCGGCGGAGGGACGCCCAGGGACGGGCCAGUGAGAUGGGUCGGAACCAUCAUUAGACCCAUCGUUGAUCCGGACUGCUGAUCCAUCGUUUUGGAUUGGAAUCGCCUGGAACCACCUCGGAGAGUGGUAUGGCUAAGAGUAAAUACUAAGAGGAUUUUACGGUCUCGUAGUGGGUAAGGAAUUUCGGCCGGCUGGCCAGCCCACGGGCGGCGCUCCGUCCGGUGCGUUGAAUAGUAUUCAAUACACUGUAAGCUAAAUAGACAAUAUAUAUUUAUAUAUCAUGCAAUGUAAACGUUUAUUUCAUUAGUUUAAAUCAUUAAACAGCUCCAGCAGCAUAAAUCUAGAAUAGGAUGCAUAGCUGGGAGGAGAUAGAGAUUCUCUUCACACGGGCGAACUAACUCAGCUCCAACACUCUGCCAGAUAAGCAGGAUACCCCGUGGCGUUACAUUCUCUUUCUAGUUUUGAGCCUAAAGGUUUUACUGUCUUUGCUCUGCAUGAUUGAAUUAGCUUGACUAGCCGUUCUCUUUGGGGAUCAACUAUAUUGCUAUACAUUGGUGCUGUGAUCCCGUCAUCUGCUGCGUUGCUUGCUUGCUGUCUAGCCAAGGCUGCGGUGCUUGCCACUGCUCAAAUGGCUGCUAUCUAUUUCUUGAGAAGAACCGAAACAGAGCAAACGGCUGCAGAAAGCUGAGCAUCUGGUGGUUGCAGUCUAGAGGUAUACAUGAAUGGGUGAUAAAUGUGCUGGCAGAACUACCAUCAGUAGGACAAUGAUGAGGUGGUAGUAAAUUUAUAUUACCUAUUGAUAAAAGGUAUAUCAAUGGUUGUUUUAGAAAUGAGCUUCUGUUAACUAAUAUUUUGUCCCAUUAAUAUGUGUGCGUUCAAUAUACAGAAUGGAAACAGUGGAAUUGUGAAAAUUUCCUUUGUUGACCUACUUCAAGGAUCCUUCAUUUGAAAUGGAUUGUUGAUAUAUACAACACAAAAUAUUUAUUUGUCAAGCUUAGUAUGAAAGCAUUGCUAAAUAUAUAAAUCAUGCAUAUCUCAAAUUCUAAUUCGGUAAAUAUGCAGUAUAUGCUAAACUUAAGAGCUAGGUGUUAGGAGCAAGAGGAGGAGUAACCUGGAUGUCGGAAAAGUUGAUCAUCAUGGAUGCUGGGAGCAGAACGAAGGCUUGAGGUUGUGUUCUGUGCCCCCAUAGUCGACAAGAGGCACAUAUGAAGCAAGCAAGCUGCAAGUGCAGAUCGAGCAUGUGUUGCCGGCUUGCCGCUGUGAAGGGCCCUGCUUUCAUCCUUGACAAAAGCAUGUCACAAGUGAAUACAGGUAGCACUCUGCUGGUGCUCUAUGCACAAUAUCUUGUCAAUAUGCAGUAUGCAUUUCGUCAAACAUGUUGGGGGCACUGGGAAGCACACGGUCAGCACGAUGGGAGGCCACAGCAGCGGACAGAGAGCCCUCCUGCAAUCGAGGUGAUGGCUGCUCGGCGCCCAAGAGUUGCGCCAGGGCCACCAUCGCUCGCGUCGCAUGGGCAAAUUGCACCGGGCAGCAGGGUGUGCAUCGACUCCACCGGCGGACGGGUGCACCACGAUGGUGUGCUUAUGGUGCCGCGGGGAUAAAGCGCCGCGGCUCGGUCCCUGUUGUUCCCCGCGCUGACCACACGUAUCGCCGGCAGCCGUCGCCGCGGGAGCCUCGCUUGUCUCUGCGGCCAAGCCGGUGCUGAGGUAGGCAAACGCGGACGAGCGGUGGAGGCCGACCUCCCGUGCAGCCGCGGCCCCACGUGAGUCGAGGUCGCGGUCGCUGUGGGAGCCGUGCUCGUCUCCAGCGGUGGAGGCCGACCUCCCAAACUCGCAUCCGCAGCCCCCGUGGGCUGAGGUCGCCGGCGGCACGGGAUCUGUGCUCGUCUUCGGGGCCGGGCCGACGGCGAGGUAGGCAUGCAAGCGCCGCCGCGCCGUGGAUGCCGACCUCCCCACCUCACGGCAGCGGCCCCAUGUGGGUGGAGGUCUCCGGUGAGGCCUCUCCGCAAGCUCCGCGUUCAGCCCUCCACCGGGGCAGCUGCCUGAAUUGAAGGCGUCCCGGCAGUAGCGGUGGAGGAAGGACAGGAGGAACAGCGGGAGAGAAUUCAGAAGCGCCGCUGGUCGACGUUUCGCGAAGCCGGCGCCAUGGCCCAAGCCUUCAACGAUCUUAGCCAUCCAUGCAAGAUCUAACGGUCGAGAAUUAUACAAGCCUCGGUUUGGGUCCAGGAAUGGAGUUUAGAGAUUGCAUCCAGAGUUUCAACCAUAGACAUGACGGUUUACCAUCUGUAUGGGAACUGUAGCCAUCAUCAUUGAAACCAUGCUCAUCACAGUCAUUUGCAAUCUCACCAUAUUCAAAUGCGUCACUAUCACUCUCAAUGUCGCUACCAUAAUCAUAACUAUCCUUGUAACCAACUAACCAAGCCCAUAUCCUUUUAGAGGGACACCAAAUCCAUAUCCAGUCUUGUACUUCUGAUUAUUGCCGUUACCAUCGUCAUCGUCAUCUUCAUCUGUGGUUUCAUCCAAUUCAUCCUUGCUGAAGUCUUCAAAAUCAUCAGUAAAGGCAUAAUCAUCAAGUAUUAUUGCGCCUGUGACAAGUGACUCCAUGUUCUCAAAUGACGGAGCUUGGGUUAUUGGUGAGACACAACGUAGCAGUACGAGGUUUGGAGCAGCGAUAGACAGGUUCACAUUGAUCUGACACUUGAACAUGACCAAAAUUUUCAAAGAGGCAGAUGAAAUCUCAUGGCCAGCCAUCAAGCAAUCUUUAAGAUCCAGUUCCUCUAAAGAUGGGCAAUGAGAUGAAAGCUGCCUGAGGGCGUUGUUAUCAAGCAGGGCAUAGGACAGCUUCAAGAUCUUGAGGUGGCUAGAGACGAACACCAUGUGCUCCAACAUUGCUAGGCCAUUGUGAUGCCCAACAAGAUGGAUAACCCGAACCCCGCGUUUGAUAGCAGCACGGACCCAUGACUUUGUGUCAUCUUCGUCAAAUGCAUCAUCAACAUCACUCGAGCGCAGACAAAGUGUGUCCAGCUUCGCUGACGCCCCACGACGGCGGAAUAGGUGGUGCACGAAGUCAGGGAACUCCUCCGGUGUGUAACCGUAGGCAUCGCUGCGGAUCCGGAGGUCAACACAGGGUGCGGACGCCCAGAGAUGGCGCCACCGCCGCGAGCGGAUCUUUGAGGAACGACAUGAUGUGAUGCAGGAGCGCGUCCGGGAGCGCGCUCAGGCGGUCACCGUCAGGAUCGCUUCCCUCACGCCGGCGUGACCCCAGUGCUCUGCUGGCACGGUUGACUAGCACCGACUGCAUGGUGCUGCUCAUCAGGGGUGUGGCGCUCUUUGGGGGCACCAAGUGUUGGUGCAGGGGCGCAUCCAGGAGCGCGCUACGGCGGUCGGCAGCAGGGUCUCCGCUCCCGCGCCGACACGACGCUCCUUCCGCCUGGUUGACAGGCACCCAGCGCUUGGUGUCCUUCGGGAGCAUUGCGUCGAGCAGGUGGCCUGCACGGCCACAACGGCCAGGGGCACCAACCAAAGAUCAGAGAUUUUAAGCUGGGAUUCCUGCAAGAAACAUCCACCGGAAGAGGUAAAGCUAAGGCAAAUUUGAUUGGGUGCAAAUUGGAUUCUUCCAAGAUUAUUUUUCAACCGAUGAUGUCAAAAUUUUGCGAGAAAAUAUACAGAAGAAAACGUGGAUCAAAAAAGAGGACGACUGAACGAGAUCAACAGGGGAAGGAACAGAUCAAACUUACAGGAAGAGAAGAAUUUCUUCUGAGAUCUUCAAGGAAAGGUGAUGAGUGAUGAGUGAUGAGUACUCGGCUCCCGCUGUCCCGCUCCGGAAGUUCCAAAAUCAGGUAGCGGAGGCAGGCGCCGCGACUGGUUCAUACCAUUUGGAAACCGAGCGAAUGGGCUAUUGGGCUUUCGGGCUUUCCUUCUCGCUGGGCCAUAUCCAUCAUGCCGCUUCUGAUUUCCGAUUUUUGAAAUAAAUCAUAUAUUAAUUUAUUUAUUACUAACAUCGAAAGGAUGGCUUCUUUGCAAAUUUGACAUCAGGGUAUAUUUUAUUCCCCAAAGGGAAACCACCAUUUGUACAAUGACAAGGGAAAAUUUUUACUUAUAUCUGAAAUUCAACUUUCAUAUUCAAGCUGAUGUUUUGAAUGUUGGGAGGGAAGAUAAAAAUAUUUCAAAAUGCUAUAAUUUUGCAGUUGAGGCUGUUUUGCAAAAGAGAGACAACCAGCUGCAAAAUGACGAGGCUCUUAGGAAGUUAGGAGAUACAAUAGGAAGCGACAUGUAGUCCCACUCACCUUAGCCCAUCCUCCUAUGAACCUACCAAUGCCUUCAUCACACGAUAAGUUAGUUAGGUGUAUGCAAAAUUUAAGCUUGACCAAAAAUUUGUGCAAAGAGAAAUAAAGAAAAGAAAUUAGACAAUAAACAACAGUAAGUUGCAAACGUUCAUAGUUAAUCCACAAACCAUUAUUCUUUAUAUCCAAUAUAAGUGCAUUUCUAAUAAGUUUUAGACAUAUUAGUAAUCGUGUGAAAUGAGCUCGCUGCCCCUAAUUACUCAUAGUAGUUGUAAUCGAAAGCCGCACCGUUGAUUGGGUUGUCUGGAUACUGAAAAAAUGUAUACAUAUUGGAACAAGAAAAGUAGCAUCAAUCAAUCAUUUGGCUCCAUUCGCUUCUCCAUACGUUUUUUUGUUUGUUUAAAUCUGCAAAUCAAAGAUGGUGAAGGGAGUACCAUGCAAAUAUAAGUGCUGCAUUGGUUUAAAUGGAUAGGCCUCCCUAUAUGCUAAAAGUGCUCUGUUUGUGGGAUAAAAUGUGAUCUUUCGUCAAAAAUAAUGAACUUUGCAUCAUUCUUUUAAAGAAAACCUCUAACCAUUUCUUUUUAUGAAAAAAAACUCUAACCAUUUGCCUCACUGCCUGUGGAUCUAUUCAAUAUCCUCUGUCCUAGAGUUCCAUACUUUCGAAAAUGGUUCUUCUACAGUACUGCAAAAGGACUCGAUACCUGACAUGCAUAUUUUCAUGGUCGUCUGGGACGCAUCGCCAGCCCCUCCUCGGUCGCUGGCCCCAUCGGCCACGGUGCACCAAACAAUCCCCUGCCACCGACGGCCUCACCCGCCCCAAGUUCGUCAAACGCUUGCCACCGAUGGUUGGUCGAUCUGUCGACUGCCAGGACCGUUCGCCAUCGUGUUUUCCCAUACACGCCACUCGCCCUGUUUCUUCAAACCAACACCACCAAGCAAUGCUACGACACCCAUUCCCUGCACCGUUAAUUUCGAUUGAUUCUGCGUCUAGCUGUGUUCUGACUGAGCAAACCGAAUGUGAUGGUGAUGUGUCUUUCUAACCAAGUCCUGAAUGAAUUUCACAGCAUGUUUACCCGUGCAACAGUUAGUUGUGCAGCUGUGCUGGAGCUGGACACUGGUUUUGUUUAAAGUGGCGUUUGCUCCUUUUUGAGAACCUUUUUUGUGUGACACAACCUGUAUGUAUUGGUCAGUUCUCUCUAGUCACAUCCAAUUCCACCCUGUUUAUGCAAGGAUCUAAACAGAUUUCAGGUUAUUUAUGUCAGCUGUGCUCUAAAGAUGCACUCAUGUACUUUCCCUUCCCAGCAAUCGAUUUAUAAAAAGUCAACAUCCAAGCACCAUUAGCUUGAGCUUGGAUGCGUCCAAGACAGUGUGUGAAGCCAUCGCAGUCCGCAGCUGAAUUUGAAUUCCUAUGGCUAUCUGCUACCAGUCCAUUGGUCACUGCCACGGAAAUUAGAGCAAAGGUAAUCCUUGAUCACGGUUUGCAAUGCAGCAAAGCUGCAUAUAUGGUCUUUAGAAUAUCUCAUCAAGGCAACCACAGGAUUCAAAAUACUGAAAACAAGCAUUGAGCAUGCAAAGCCUGCAACCCAUUGAAACACUAAAGCAAGUACUGGUUUUACUCAUUACGAUUGAACGCUGAGUUAAAGGCAUUAUCCAGAAGGUCUUAACUCUUGACUCAUCCACUAGAGAAGACAAGAAGGUUCCAAGAUUUGGACGACCAUGCAUAAGGUUCAUCCUCCAUGUUACCCAAAAGAGGCAUCCAAGUUGCACCGCAGUUUCACAGGCAUGAUCAGUGCGUCCUGAUCCAUGAUGUGUUGCAAACUCAUUACAUACGACCUAAUGCCAAUGAAACAGGACAAUGGGGCGUUACAUCCCCCAGAACUCCAGUUCGUGCCUGGCAAGAUCCUUCAUUAUCUUCUCACCACGGAGAUCUGUUACAAAUAUCAGAGUGGAUGAGUACAUAGAUUAAGAUCAAGCGCAAAAAACAAAGUUUGAGUUCACAGAAUAGCUCAUCUGUAUAGUAUAGUUCAUAUAAAAACAGUCUGGAGAAAAGCAUCAAGCGACCAACUAUCAUAUUUAACCUUUCAUGGAAAGGCUACAGGCUACUAAAUUACCUUAUUUCUUGAACCAAAAAGACAUUGGCACUGUAAUAGAUAUACAAGGAGAAGGUAUGACUUACGGGCGCUUCCAGUCCGACGAACAAAAAUCUUAUCAACUGGUAUACCAUUAGCCCUGAACAAAUGUGCCAGCUUAUGGAUUCUUACAUCAUCCUUGGAGCAUUUAAUCUUCACCAUUUGAAGGUGCUUGCAAGCAAACGAUUUCUCCUUUAGUUUCACACCGCUAACCAAUGAGUUCCUGGUGUUGAAGUUCUUUUUGCAGAAGACAACACGAUUGAUAUUAAACAUGAGCACAGACACUCAAAGCUGUAACACCCUAAUUUUUAAAUUAGGAACCUAAAUAAACUUUGCUAGAUUAUCUUCAGGAUCCAUAAGGUUUUCUUCCAAUUAUUUUGGAUUUUAGAACAUUUACCGUGAAUUAAUAAUAAUCUACUUAAUCAUAAAAAGAAAUAUAAGAAAAUAUAGGUCUUGUGUAUUUCAUGCCGCAUUGCAUUGUUUUAUUGCUUGUCUUCAAUUUGAAUUUAAAUUUUAAAUUCAAAUUCAAAUUCAAAUGCUUUUGGAUGAUUUUCUUUUUCUCCCCCUUUUUCUCUUUUGGCCCGGCCCAUUUUUCUUCUCUCCCUCCCCCUUUCCUUUUCUUCUCCCCGCAGCCCAUCCACCCUUUUCUUUUUCCUCCCCCGCACGGCCCAACUGCGUCGCCACCUCUCUCCCAGCCCAACUCAGCGGCGCUCUCCUCUCCCUCUCCCCCACCGCCAAGCGGGCCCCACCCAUCGGGUCCGUCCCCGACCUCGAGCCAGACUCGGGCUCGACCCCGAGUCCGGCCGCGGCGCGGCGCCGCCUCCGCCCGCACGACACGCUCGUCAAGGCCCCGCAGCCGCCCCUAUAAAGCCGCCGCCCCGCGCCCUCGUUUCCGUCAACCCGCAGCCGCGCGCCCUCGCCUCGUAAACCCUAGCCGCGCAAGCCUAUCGUCGCUGCACCUCGGCCGCCCGAAGCCGUCGCCGCCUCGCCGCUCCUCUAUCGCCGCGAGCCGCCGCCGGAGUUCCGCCGUGGGGUAAGGGUCCUCGCCGGCCUAUUUUCCCCCUCUUCCCCGCCUUCCCGCGCGCCCGAUUCCUCGCUGGAGCUCCGCGACCACGCGCCACCGCCGUCCGCCCUUCUCCGGCCCCGGCUCCCCGUCCAAAGCCCUUAGAUGCGAUCCCCGUGGCACCCGUGUUCUCCCCGUGCAGCCCGCGCUCAAAACCGAGCCCGGACGGCCGUUUACGGCCAAGUCUGGCGAGUCCGCCGCCGGCGUCCAGCGCCGCCACCCCGAGUCGCCAGCCGUUUCCGACCGUCCGAUCGAGAUCCCAUGGUCUAGAUCUAAUCUAGACCGGGGUCAAAUAACCCCGUAUCGGUCAACCCUAGGAUCUUUUGCACUUUAGCCCCUGAGUUCUAUCAAAAUCAACCCGCAGUCCACGGCAGUUUAAAAGUAUUCACGAAUAGAUCCUUUUCUUCUGUUUAAACCCCUGCCUUCUUCUAAAAUAGAACCCGCCGUCCCUAGCCCCUCUGUUUUUCAAUCUAAACCCUAGAUUUAAGGUUUAAUUAUAUUUUAGCCCUUAGUUUCUUUGUCCAGAGCCCUUCUAGUUUUAAAUCUUUUACAAAUAAGUCCCUGGAAUCAUAUUUUAGCCAUAACUUCUCCAUUUUAACUCCGUUUUCAUUGAUUCUCGCGCUCAUGCGACCCUUGCGACGUAUACAGUAGCUUUAUAACGUUGUUUUGCUCUAUUUACAUUGUUUGGGGUGUACUGUUCUUAUUUAUUGUACUUGUUUGUUUGUAUGUACCUAUGUGUUGCGAUAGACGGCGCGCAGUUCGAGGGUCCGCAAGAGCAAGACUUUGAAGACGCCCCUGAGCAGCAGCAGUACUUUGAAGAAGGCAACUGAUCCUUGAUCAUAUUCCGAUCCUAAUAACUUCUAAAUAUACAAAUUUACUUUAUAUGCAUGCAUAUGUCUAUAAUAUGAUGGAUCCUAACCUAAGGAUAUACCUAGUUUCUCUUGAAAUUUCUUGAUUAAAUCUGGAUUGUUAUAUUUAUAUUGUUGCUACGCUAGUUGCUUUUACUUAGACUUUGGUUGGAUAACCUGAAAUUUACAUUACACUUGUUUUACUUCAUGUUUUGGAAUACUUUAUUGGUAAUAACUUUAAGAUCAUUGCAUUAAUUGGAACAUGAAAAACCAUCCAGAAAAACAGUGCAACCACGAUACUAUAUGGCUCUGGUCUUGACUAAUUAAUUAAAAACUUUAGCUCAUGAUAAUCUUACCGAAAGGAUAAGAGGGAUUGCAUCGUCGGGGUAUAGCUCGGUCCUCUUGAGGCUUUAUGAUAUGUGGUCUUUUGUUAAGGCACUUCCUCAUUAGGGAGGGUUACAAUCACUUUAACUUAAAACCUUAGCGGAUUGUCUUAAGGUAGGGAAUCUUUAUAAACGUCUCGUAGUGAAUCUCUGCCAUUCACUUCGGAAGUGUUUAAGGGCCUUGCAAUUCCGGAUGUUAAGAGAAACACCAGUUGUGGGUAAAGUGUACGACCUCUGCAGAGUGAAAACUGAUAUAUCAACCGUGCUUACUGUUAAGAGCGGCCUGAACCCUCACAUGAUAAUUGAACUUAAAGAUGAUCUGAAUUGAUGUUCUUUAUUUAUAUUAUUUUUAUUUAUCUCUAUUAUUUAUUUAAAGGUUGGUAUAUAGCUACACUUAGUUAAUGCUUGCUAAAUAAAACUUGAUCAACUAAAAAUGCUUACUGCAGUCAAACUAUAUCAGUUAUUUCUUGUUUAUAGCCUUGUAUGUCAUAUAAUUUACUCCACUUGUUAAGUAAACCAUAAAUGUACUGACGCUUGCUUUAUUAAAACCAAUGCUGCUCAGAAUAAGAUAAUUGUUCGGAAUUUCCUGAAGAUUUUGAGGAGUUCUAGGCGUAUGUCUCCCAGUGAUCUGCCUUGACUUUCGUUCAUGUAACAAAGUAGUAUAAUAUUCUCUUUCGUUACGAUAUUAUUUCAAGUAUACACUUGUAUCGUCUAUCAUAUGGGUGGAACUUGAUAUUGGCGCACAUAUGAAAUGCAUUUGGGUCCUUUUCAAAACCGGUGUGACAAAAACUCAUGUACAAAGCACAACCAAGAUUAUGUAAGUUCAUACCAAUUUAAGUUCAAGAAAAAGCCUCUCCAGAUUAGGUGAAUGCUGCAUCAAGAAUACUAAUGCAUCGAAGCCAGGAUUCAUAGACCAUUCACCAAGGGAUAAUGUCUUCAGGUUGCUAAAACUUGGACACCUUUUUAGUUCUCUAGUCAGAAUCACCUGCAUACCGAAAAGGCGAGAUAUCAGUAAACAAUAAAAGUAAUCAAAUAAACCUUCAUAACAAUCUACAACCAAAUUAGGAAACGCAUUGAAAAGAAAAGAAAAGAAAAUACAGUGAUAUUGCCAAGGAAGUGUUGCCAUAAACAAAGUUGGACGCAUACUUAUUUUCUAGUAUGAGUGUGCAAAUGGGAAUUGUCCAGUAGACUAGUGUCAAGGCACAAGAUCCAUAGGACCUAUUCUGUGCUAAUACAUAAUAGCAUCUAUUUUAGUAGGCACACUUUUGCAAACAUGCAAUAAUAUUAAUACCAAACAAUGAACAGUUCUCUCUCAGAGAGACAUACUUUCAAUAGGCAAUCAAGUAAGCGCUACACUGAUGGAAAAUAAUUAUCCUCUUUACCUGGACUGUUUCCUGAGUCAGCUACUCAGCUGUGAGUAGGAAAUCAGGUUUAUGGUGUGACCCACCCCACUAAAGAGUAAAUGUGCAAAAAUCUGUGGAUUGGACAUUCUGUGAUCUGGUAAAACCUAAACAGGCUUUCACUGACAGAAGUAAGGUAUAGACUGUUCCAACAAAAUCAGUUUGACUAUAUUCAGGAAAAUAAAACUUGCUCUUUUGUCUCUAGCUUGAAAGUCAGGUUAGAGUUUUAGGUCCGCCCCCCCCCCCCCCCCCCCCCUCUUCUGUUCUGUGCCUCUGUGCUCUGUUCCGUCGUGAAACACUGUAAUUCCGUUUCUCAAAAUAGGAUUGGGGUGAGCCUCGCUUCGAAAAAUAUUCAGGAAAAUAAAAAUAUACAAUAAAAACCAGACAUGGAAACAGCAGAAAGCUAUACCUCUCCAGCAUCGGCCAACAGCUCCAAACUUGAAGCAUUUGAAAGGCUCUGGAGAACAUUAUGGCCACCUUUAAUUUUGUUAUCAUUGCAACCAGAGUUUUCACCAACGAUCUGAUGGUUACCAUCCAUACUAGAAUCGCAGUCAUCACCAUUAAUGCCAUACUCAUCAGAAUCGAUUGCAAUCUCACUAUAUUCAAAGGAGUUGUCAUCACUUUCAAUGUCACUACCAUAACCAUAAUCAUUCUUGUAACCAAGCCCAUAUCCUUCUAGAGGGACACCAAAUCCAUAUCGAGUCUUGCACUUCCAAUUGUUUCCAUUACAAUCAUCAUCUCCGUCUGUGCUUUCAUCAAAUUCAUCCUUGCUGAAGUCUUCAAAAUCAUCACUAAAGGCAAAAUCAUCAAGUAUGAUAGUACCUGUGACAAGCAACCCCAUGCUCUUAAAUGAUGGAGCUUGGGUGAUUGGAGAGAUGCAGCGUAGCAGUACAAGGUUCGGAGCAGCAAUAGAAAGGUUCACAUUGAUCUGGCACUUGAACAAGGUCAAAAUCUUCAGAGGCGCAGAUGAAAUCUCAUGGCCUGUGAUCAAGCAAUCUUUAAGAUCCAGUUCCUCCAAAGACGGGCAAUGAGACGAAAGCUGCCUGAGGAUGUUAUCAAUCAGUGCAUAGGACAGCUUCAAGAUCUUGAGGUGGCAAGAGACAAAUGAUGCAUGCUCAAGAACAGCGAGCCUGCUGCCACAAAGCCAAUCCUCCUUGCGGUGCCCGACAAGAUGGAUAACUUGAGCCCCCUGCUUGAUCGCAGUACGGAUCCACAACCUGGCAUCGUCUUUAUCAUGUGCACCAUCAACAUCACUCGAGCGCAGAUGGAGCGUGUCCAGCUUUGCCGACGCCUCGCGGCGGCGGAAAAGGUGUCGCACAAAGUCAGGGAAGUCCUCUGGCGUCUCGCCAUAGUCGUUGCCACGGAUGCAGAGGUCGAUGCAGGGCGAGGAUGCCCAGAUGUGGCGCCAUCACCACGACAGCGUGCAGGUCCGCACCACCUCCCACGCCUUGAGGAACGACAUGAUGUGGUGCAGUAGCGCGUCCGGGAGCGCGCUGAGGCGGUCGGUGUCAGGGUCGCUUCCCUUGAGCCCGCGUGACGCCGGCACUUCCCCAGCACGGUUGACCGGCACCUAACGCAUGGUGCUCUUCGAUGGUGCGGCGCUCUUGGGCGGCACCAACCGGUGGUGCAGGGGUGGGGCCGGGAGCACACUGUGGUGGUGGUCGGCGGUAGGGUUGCCACCCACUCCCACACGCUCGCGGGACGCUCCCUCCGCCCGGUUGACCGGCACCCAGCGCUUGGUGACCUUCGGGGGCACUACGUCGAGCAGGUAGCCUGCACGGCCACGACGGUGAGGAACACUAACCAGAGACCAGAGGUUCUCCACCGGAAUCCCUGCAAGAAACAUUCAGAUAGAAAGUGGAGCGUAAGCCUAUGGCAAGACUGAUUGGGUGCAAAUUGGAGUCUUGGAAAAUAAUUUUUCAGCCGAUCAUAUCAAAAUUUUGCUGGAAAAAAAUAUAUGGGGGAUAAAACUGCAUCGACGGAAGAACUGAUGCACAGGAGAUCAACUAAGGGGGAGGAAUGGAUCGAACUUACAGGAAGAGCGGAAUUUCUUCUGAGAUCUUGAAGGAAUGGUGGUAUUGAGUAUUAGCCUCCCGCAGUCCCGCUUCGGAAGUCCAAAAUCAAGCAGAUGAGAGAGGAAGGCGGCUAGGGUAGUUCAUGCCAUUUGUUGCCGAGCGAAUGGGCGGGCUUCGGGGGCAUUCCGCUCCAUUGGGCCGUCGGGAGGGAUAUUGGUCCACUCGCGUGAUUCCCGAUUUGAAAGUAAGGAAAACUAUUUUUUUAAGAAAAGAAAAGGAAAGGAAUUUUUUUUCACCACGGGUAUAGCCCUGAUUUCAUUACUUCUCAUAACGAAAUUACAAAGGUUCCAGAGUACCAGGGUUCAGAUUUAGCUACUUAUUACAACAAGUUCCAGCGUGAAAACGCCCACCAAAACGUGCAAAAGACAUGCAAGCAAAAUUAGAGCCCGUCUGGAAGGCGUCCAGCCGGCUCCAUGGCAAAACACUGUUCAUCAGAGCCGGUUUUCUCUCUCCUCUCCCUGGUUCAGAGCCUGCAGUCCUACUAUCUUAGUGUGCCUACGUUCAAUCGAUAUUGCCCGCGUUCAUUAAUGUGGAUAUGUCGACAGGUAUUUUUCUAGGCUUCCAAAAUUUAUCACCGAUAAUGAAAACAUAAAUGUGAUCAAACCGAUUUUGGCCUGUGAGAUUCUUCUUUUGGCCGCAGCAUGAUGAAUAAGCAAAAUACAUGGAAACAUUUGGUUUACCUUUAUUUAUCUCAGCCAUUGGAAAAGAUCGUAUAGUCAUGAAAUUUCACAAAACAUUUGGCAGCGUAGGGGAUUCUAUCUACGUGCACGAAGUUUUAGCUCAAAGUAGUAAUUGUGCAACUGUAUAUUUUUUCUCAUUAUACAAGUCAACAUUUGAGCUGGAAGUACACAGAGUAGUUUAAAAUAGCAUUGUAUGCACCACAAUUUCCUUUAAUAAAUUUUCAAUCACUCUUUUGUGAAUUUAACAUAUAAAUGCGCAUUUUCUUGCAUAAUUGUCAUAUGGUCGAGCCGUAGGACCUUUGUCACCCAGUGUUAGCACUACCGGAUUCAGGCCCUUUGCCGAGUGUCUGGGACACUCGGCCAAGCCCCGAUUACACUCGGCAAAGGCUUUGUCGAGUGUAACACUCGGCAAAGAGAAGCACUCGGCAAAAUGUAAAUCGGAAAAAAUCCAAAAAAAAAGGAAAAAAAUUAUUAGGGGAGGCAUGCACAGCUAGCCAGUGACCCAUCUAACGGGUUGCACAUUUUUUUCAGCAAUUUUCCAUAAGUUGUCGAUAAUAGCUUUCGAACUCACAACCUCCUGCACACAAACAAAUUCCUCUACCACUGCACCAUUAGACCAAAUGUGUCAACAUUACGUUUUUAUUCUCCACGUAUUAUAAUUAACAGAGUAUAAAUUAUUUGUUUGAGAUAGUAAAUAAAUUCAAAUGAAAAAGUUGUUAAUUACAAAGUGGCAUAACUUUUCGGGAUUUCCAACUUUUAUUUUGGUAGUUUCUUCAUCCGAGAUCGUUUACAAAAUUUGAAUUUCAAAUUUGAAAACUUCAAACGUAUUUUAAUAUGACACAAUGAUUUCAAAUCAAAAAGUUAUCAACUACAAACUUUCAUAAACUUUUGAGAUCUACAACUUUAGUUUUGAUGGUUUUUCCAUUCGAGGUCAUUUGCAAAAUUCAAAUUUUAAAUUUUCUAUAUUCAGAUGUAGUUUUUGUUGACAAGAUGACUUCAAAUUAAAAUGUUGCCAACUGUAAAAUCUUAUAACUUCUCAAGAUCUACAAAGUUUAUUUUGGUUGUUUUGUUAUUUCUUCAUCUGACAUGAUAAUUCUAAUAUUAUUCACAAAUCUUAUAUAUCUCUUUUAUAGUUUCAUAAACUACGAGAAAGAUAUAUGUGUUUUAUAAACAAAUUUACAUUUAUUUUAUCAAAUGAAGAAAUAUCCAAAACAAGAAUUGUGUAUCUUGAUGAGUUACACAACUUUGUAGAUGAAAAUAUUUUUAUUUAAAUUAAUUUACUACUUCAAAAUAUGAUUUGAAAAUUAUCUUUACCUAGUGUUCUAAAAAAACACUCGGCAAAGGGACUCUUUGCCGAGUGUCUAAAAAAGGCACUUGGCAAAGAUGUCUUUGCCGAGUGCCGAAAACGACACUCGGCAAAGACGCUCUUUGCCGAGUGCCCGAAAGGAAACACUCGGCAAUACACUUGACACUCGGCAAAGAUCUUUUUUUCCGGUAGUGUGGGGAUUCUAUUUUAUCAAUUUUACCAAUAAAGUCUUUAUUUUUAAAAAUAUUAAGAAAAGAUAAUUUUAUUUUAGAAAUAGACCUUUUGUUUCCAAGGGUAGCAGGUUGGGACAUCCCAUUUUUUAUUUUUACUAUAAAAUUCUUUGAAUUUUCUUGAACUUCUAGCCAAGUCCAAUGUUCCUUCUUCAACCAGACAUACAACACCACGUAAUCACUUGAAAGGUGGUUUUGAGAUGUGGUUGGUUGAACUUUUGAUACAGAGAACCUUAUACCAUUAGUCUAUUUCUCAGUGUGCCGUUUAGCAAUUAAAGGAAAAUGUGAUGGGCGAACAUGUAAAUAAUUAAACAUGUGUUAUUAAUUUGCACCACAACAUGGGAACCCUGCCGCGAAGUCAGGAACACCUGAAAAGCAAAUUUUCCAUGGGCUGGAGUCUGGAGGAGAAUUUGUUUGGUUUUUGUAAAUUAGAUGUGCCUGUGCGUUUAAAUCUAGGAGUUAAGCAGGAAACCAGUCUGGAUAAAAGUAAAAUUGUCAUUGUUCUCGUAUCUCAAUAAUGGGUGAACUUUGCUUGGCCAAGAAAAAAUAAAUAAAUAGCCAGGAAACCUUUGAAGCACACUCGUUGCAAUGGGUUCAAAAUGAAGGCAAGCAAUGUGGUUAAAGAGUUCGUAUUUUAAAAUAAUUCCCAUUGCUGUAACUAAUAUUUUCAGUAAAUCUUAGUUGAUUACUCGUACCGUUGGAUGACUCAUCUGCCAGCCCAGCAUACAGGAAGAUGAUAAAAAAUGGAGUAGUAGAAGAGGCAACAGGCAACGAGAGCAAGAGAGAUGGCAGAAGACAAUGGCAGUUAGGGAUUUUUAAUAAUCUUUUAUAGAGAAAACAAACGGAGCUCACAGCAGCAGCACAAAGGGCAAACAAAUUGCAAUGGUAAAUACAGAAGAUUCACUUUCAAGCACCAGUAAUUUUAGCUUUAGAUGCGUAUAGACAGCACUUGAAAAGCUAGAACUGUUGAAAUCUGGAUUACUAUGCCUAUAUCCCAGAAUGUAUAACCAGCCAAUCGAACAAUUGUUACGGAAAUUAGAGCAAAAGUUAUUGUCCUCAUCACUAAGGCAGGAAAGGUACAUUAUUUUUUAACUUAAAUAAGCUUGGAAACUCUGUUCAACAAAAAGGAUGGUCAUUGUGGCAACCACAGGAUUCAAUAUGAAAGAGAAAGACUGAAGCAUUGAAACACCCAAGCAAAUAGCAGAUUUACUUGUUAAUGAUUGAAAACAAAGUUAAUUGAAGGCAUUAUGUAUUUCUUAACUCCCCAGAGAAGAGAAGAACGUUCCAAUAUGGGUAAACACGCGUGAGCUAUCCAUCUUACAUGUUACCCAAAUGGUGCAUCAGAAGCUGCGCUACAGUUUCGCAAGCAAGAUCAGUGCAUCCUGAAAUCCAUGAUGACAUGCAAAUCACAUGUUUACUGACAAAUAAAAACUGGUUAACUCAUUCCUUAACAUCGGAUACAAUAUUAAGCUGGAUAAUUGGGCAUCAGUCGUCGCCCCAGAACUCCAGUUCAUGCCUAGCAAGAUCCUUCAUCAUCUUCUUGCCACGAAGAUCUGGUAGAAAUAUCACAUAGUGGAUGUUUACAUAGAUUAGAAUCCAGCACAGAAGAAGAAAGCUUGAGUAAAAACUGAACAGUAUGGCUUGCUCGUCAAAUGGUAAAAGAAGAUCCUAUAUGAUGUAGCUGUACUUCGAUUGAAUCAUAGCGUCUAGCAUUUGAAGGACUGAAAAAUAAAGUAUUAAUAUAGCACAGCAUUGUAAAUAACUAUGAAAUCAGAUAUGUGAAGAGUGAUGGGACAAGUCUUUGUACAGUUGGCCUUUGUGGUUCUCGGCAUGGUGGUCUUGCUGCUCCAACCAGGACAGCAUCUAUCAGGACAGCAUUUAGCAUCUUAGACUAGAUUUUAGAACAGCAUCCAGGACAGCAUCUUAGACUAAGCAUCACUAGAUUUUUGACUAGCAUCUUGGCAUAUUUGGCUAUCUUGGCCAGCUAUAAAUAUGUAUCCCUAACCCCUCAGGUUGGUAUGGUAUUUGUGUGAGAAGUAAACCAGAAAAUUGCCUCAGCUCCCAGUGUCAUCUUCUCGAUGAGAGUAAGAGUUUUGAUACUAACAAAGAGAAGGUAUGACUCACAUGUACUUCCAAUUCGACGUACAAAAAUCUUCUCCACUGGUACACUAUUGGCUCUGAACAAAAAUGCCAGCUUAUGGAUUUUUGCAUCAUCCUGAUCUUCACCAUUUGAAGAUGUUUGCAAGCAAAAGAUCUUCGCUUAGGUUUGACACCAAUUUCCAAUGGCUUCCUGAGGUUGAAGUUCUUUUGCAGAACAACAUGGUUGUUAUUACAGAUGUACCCAUCAUUUAAGUAACAUACACAAGAUACGUAAAUGUUCAUACCAGUUUAAGUUCAAGAAAAAGCCUCUCCAAAUUAGGUGAAUGCUGCAGAAAGAAGACUAAUGCAUCAAAGUCAGCAGCCAUACACCACUCACCAAGGGACAAGGUCUUCAGGUUGCUAAAGCUUGGGCAACUUUUCAGUUCUCUAGUCAGAAUCACCUUCAUAUACACAAAAUUGAGGUUUCAGCCUUUCAGCAAAGAACAACUGGAAUUGAAUUAACAUUCACAUUGUUGGUGAAACCAAUAAUACAAUAAGCAGAUAAGAAGAAUACUGACAUAGUGAUAUAUGGCCAAGGUUACGUCUUCAAAAUGCAAUGCAUCUUCAUUUACUAGUAUGAAUGUGCAAAGAUUUUUUUUAAGGACUAGCUAUGCUCUAAUAUGUAGGUGACAAUUAUUUUCAGAUAUACACCGUUGCAGUAGCAGUAACAACAAAUGACAAAUAAUGCUCUCUUGUAGAAAAAUACUUUUGGUAGGAAAUCGAUUAAUCUAUGUAAGAAAUCAGGGAAAGAAAAUAGUUUUCUUUGGCUGAUUUCUUUCCUGCGUCAGCUAAGUAAUCAGGUGAUGCUACUAAAGAGCAAAAUGUACAAAAUAAUAACACAAUGAUAUAUUGCCAUGGGACAUUUUUUAGUAUAAAUAUAAAUGUGUAAAUGGGAAUUGUCCCAAGACUGAUGUCAAGACACAAUGGGCACAUUUGGUUGCUGGCCGCUCUCUGCCCUGCCAAAUCGUGGCCCGGCCAAAUUUUGGUGGCCGGAGCGGAGCUGAAAAAAUGAACUGUGGUGGGGGUGCGCCUUAGGCCAUCACCUAAGGCUAGGGACCCCCUUGUAUAAAAGAGGCUAAAUUAGGGGGGGUCUAAGGGCUUGUUUAUGAGGUCCAGGAACUUAGUUGCGGCGUUCAGGGACUUGUUUGUAAGUUCCUAGGAUUCCUUUGUUAAUCUUAGAGACCUUCUUUUAAUAUUUGACUCCACCAAUAGAAUAAAUAUAAACAACUGCCUCCUCCUCUCUAUAAAUAGAGCCCUAGGGCUUGGAAGAGAGGAUUUUUUGCCCAUUUGCUCACUUGCUCACUUGGCUUGCUCUCUAUCUCACUAUAUCACUCUCAAUGUUCAAAAAGGCGCUAGGCGGUGACCCACCACCUAGAACCUAAGCAUUUCAAGGCGAUUUUCUAGGCGGUGCUGUAUAUGUAGACAUUUCUUGUCAUACACAUCAACUAACUCUAAAAGAAAGGAAAACCAGAGAAUAGUGGGCCUAAAGUUAGAUAGAAGGCCCAUCCAAACAACCCAACCGAGUCUCAAUACUCAACCCCACCUUAUCCCUGGCCUCAACCUUAUCGGUUCCCCACCCUUCCUCCUCCUCCACCCAUCUCCUCUGCUGCCCAGGCCGCCGCCACCCUCCCACCCCUGCUUCCUCCUCCGCUACCCAGGAUGACGUCACCUGCCCGCUUGCCCAUGCCUCCUCCUCCUCCACCACCUGCUUUGCCUCAGCCUCCUCCGCCACCGCCCAGCGCAUAAUCACGCCGCCACCGCCUCCUCUCAUGCUCUCACCUCCUCCACCGCCGCUUCCGCUUGAUGUCCCUUCCUCCCUCACCAACCCAUGGUGUCCCCGCCUCCCCCACGCGCCCCUGCCUGGCAGAUCUGCGCGGCGGCCACCAGGGUGGAAUUCUGACCAUCCUAGGCUAGGCGGAACCCCCUCGCGUGACGCUUAGUUGCGCCUAGGCAGCUGCCUAGAACCGCCUUUUUGAACAUUGAUCAUUCUAAGGUUGUUUAGUUGAGCUUGAGUUCCCUUUCUCUCAAUCUAUCUGGUUUCGGCUCAUCCGAACCAACAAACUGCACGCGUGCAUCGGAUCAAGGGCCGGCCAAAAUUUGGUUGCCAUCCAAAUGGUGAGCUUGCCCAUGGUCAACGGCCAAUAUUUUGCCUGGCCACUCAGGGUUCUCAUCCAAACACGCUCAAUAUUUCUAUAAACUAAUUAUGUACUAAUACAUAGAUAGAAAUUUUUUAAAGAGCCACGCUGUUCUAAAAGUAAGAAAUGACGAACAAAGCUCUUGUAACACCAUCAUUUUGGUAGCCGAUCUAUUUCCCAGCUACAUUUGAUGAUGGAAAACAUAGAAUUACUCUCUAUCCGAACUCUUUCAUAGAUCAGCUAUGAGUAUGAAACCAGUUGAUGCUACUUUAGGACAAAAUGUAGAAAAUGUGUGCAUGGGACAUACUGUGAUCUGAUGAAACUUAGAUACAGCUUUCUUUGUAAAUAAACAAGAAAAAGAGAUUUAUCCUGAAAUUAUAUUUUGACAUGUUGAUGAAAAUAAAAAAAAUACUGCAGUAGAUACAGACAUAAAAAAGGGGUGAUGGUGGCAAAAUCUCUCCAGCAUCAGCUAGCAGCUCCAAACUUUUAGCAUUUGAAAGGCUGUGAAGAACAUUAUGACCACCUAAAACUUUACUGUCACUGUGUCCAGAAUUUUCACCAUAGACCUUGCGGCUACCAUCUUUCCCCGAACUCUAGCCAGCACCAUCAUACACAGACUCAUUACAAUCAUUUGCAAUGUCACUAUAUUCAAAGGUGUUAUCAUUGCGUUCGAUAUCACUGCCAUAAUCAUUAGCACCCUUGUAACCACCAGGCAUAUGUCUUUUCUGAGGUAAACCAAAUCCAUAUCCAGCUCCAGCCUUGCGCUUCCUUUUCUUACCAUUACCGCUGUCAUCAUCACUGGUUUCAUCAACUUCAUCGUCAUCAGUAUCACUAUCUAGGUCAUCAUCAUCAGACAUAACCAUAGGUUUCAUCUUGCGCUUCCUGUUCUUGUGAUAACCAACCUUGUCAUCCCUGGUAUCAUCUGAUUCAUCAUCAUCAGUGGUUUCAUCUAAUUCGUCCUUGCUGAAGUCCUCAAAAUCAUCACUAAAACAGUAGUCAUCAAGUAUAAUGGUGCCUGCAACAAGCGACCCCAAAUUCUUAAAAGAUGGAGCUUGGCCGAUUGGCUUAACGCAGCGCAGCAAGAGGUUCGGAGCAGUGAUAGAGAGGCCCCAGAACAUAUUGCAAUUGACCAUUGCCAAGGUCUUCAACGAGGAGGAUGAAAUCUCAUUGCCCGAAAUCAAGCAAUCCUUGAGAUCCAUUUCUUCAAAAGACGGGCACCGAGAAGAAAGCUGCCUGAGGAUGUUGUCGUCAAGCUGGGCGUAGGAAAGCUUCAAGAUCUUGAGGUGCCUGGAGACGAAGGCCGCGUGCUCCAGCGCCGCGAGGCCGUUGUGAUGCCCGAUCAGAUGCACGACUCGAGCCUUGCGCUUGAUCGCGGUACGGAUCCAUGACCUGGCGUCGUCCUCGUCGAAGGCGCCGUCGGCGUCGCUCGACCGCAGGCGGAGCGUGUCCACGGCCGCCGACGCGUCGCGGCCGCGGAGGAGGCGGCGCACGAAGCGGGAAACUCCUCGGGCGCGCCGUCAUCACGGCUGGGGCAGAGGCAGAGGUCGACGCAGGGCGCGGACGCCCAGAGGUGGCGCCACCGCCGCGCGAGCACGCUGGUGCGCACCACCUCCCACGCCCUGAGGGGUGACAGGACGCGGUGCAGGAGCGCGCUGAGGCGGUCCGGCGCCCCCUCCUCGCCCGCUCGGCGGCCGCGGCGGCGCGGCGGUGACUGGCGCAUUGUGUCGAGCAGGUGGCCUGCCUGCGACCCCCUUGUCGCCAGACACGAGGGGAGUCGAAAUGGUGCCGAGAUUUUUUCCUUUCCCCUUUGCUCAUCGAAUAAUAGGUGCCUCUUCGGGAUUCGGGAGUUCAAAAUUCAAAUGAGGCGGCGGAGAGGCGGAGGCGAGCGGGCGCUUGCCGUUUUGGAUUCAGAUGGGCCUUUGUUCAUUCUGCUGCUGCCUUGGGAUUGGGCCACGAUAUUACUACCGUAGCGAGUUGGGCCAUGGCGAAUGGGCCCAAUUAUUUUUUUAAUUUUCCUCGUUAGUUAGCAUUAGACCUAAACAAGCGCGCCAACACAUGGACUCUUGGCGUUUGUCCAGUUGGAACAUUCCAUCGGUUCACAAGCAGUGCCCAGAAAUAAACAUGGCAUGUAUAUCCUAGCACUUACAAGUAACAAUGACCCACUUUCAUGGAGCCGAUGUUCACAUCUAUAACUCCCCCAGUCACUCCCUCCCUCGCCGUCGCCCGAGCAGGUCUCUGGAAGCCCGGCGGCCGGCGAGAAAGGUGACGACGGGGCGAAUCGGUCGGUGGGGUGCUCGGGCGCUGGGGCUGGACGGCACAAGGGGGCCAUGCCCGGGUGGCGUGUCGGAGCUUGGUCAGCACGGAUCCGGCCUUCGCACAACCGGAUCCGGACCCCCCCCUGGCAUGUCGCGAAGUGUCGGCGGCGCGGUGGGAUGGUGAGGUGCGGCGGUGCGUCCAGUGCCGACAGAUGGCGAGUGCGGCGGCAUUCUCGGCGCGGGUCGUGGAGGCCUCGGAGCGGUCGCGGCCGCUCUGAUGUUGGGCGGCGUGGCGAGUGGAGGCGUGGUGGCGGCUGCGUAGGGGGCUACUGUGGCUGUGGCCCGGGAGUGCUGAGCCGUGAGCGUGCAGGGGGUUGGAUGCUCCGUGCGAAAGCCCUCGCCGGCAUUCUUUCCAGUGGAUAUGACGGCGGUGCCCUAGGGCGUCGUUUCCGCAUUGGGGGUGUUAUUUCGGAGAUACAACCCUGCUGCACGGGGUUCUCUGGAUGAAAAUCUUGUCCAGUUCUUGAACGAGUGACGGCGGCACCUUUGGCGUCGCGCGCUUCGUGGAGGCAUCAUUUCUAGAGAACCAACUCGGCUUUGGCAUUGCUGGUCCUUCGGUCAUGGACAACAACAACCAGCGACGGCAAGUCCGCCGCGUGGCAAGCUAGAUGGGUGUUGCUGAGCCCACGGGGAGGCGUUCGUGGUUAUGGUAGCGGCCGGAGAUUGUCGCAUGUUUGUUGGUUGUGGCUGCUUGCAGCAGACCGUGGCGGGUUGCUCAGCUGGGUUGGGCUAUUCGGUGCAGUACAUCGUCGGAAGAUGGUGCAAGCGACUACUCUGGUUCACUGACAUGGCAGCGAGGUUUUGUGCGCGGGUGAAGCAAGGAGGUGAGGUCGACCUUGUGACGGUGGCUUGGCUGAUUGAUGGAGUUUUGGGGAAGGGGGGCAACAUUGCUCAUCAUCCUGACGGUGACUUUUGAAACUGAUCCGUGACAUGGAGUGCUGAGGCGGGCGUGGUGAGGCCCCGGCAUGCGGUUAUUCUUCGAGUCGAUGAGAGGUGGGGUCCAACGGCGAAUGUGACGAGGCCCCCGCGCGUUGUGUUCUCGUGGUAGCGACUGCAAAGCAGCCUGCGAGAGGUUCGUAUUUUGGUGGUCUCACUCUGUCAGGUGGAGUGUGGUGUUGCAGUGGCACUAUGGUGGAGGAUCACGCAUAGCGGUGGCCUUCUUGGUUUGGUGCAGUCUGCUUCUGUUGGUCUCCUGUCAACGCAAGGUUACGCUGCCGGCUUUGGCGAUUACGUGAGCGUGAAUGUUGGUGGGUGCCGCGUCCGACGGGGCGGAGUGGUUGAGGUCCGUGUCAAUGUCCUAAUCCAACCGUGCAGAGUUGUCUCGUGGAGAUGCGUUGUGCGGCUUGCGUCGAUGUCCCAAUUCGACCAGCCUGUGUGGUUUGCGUUGAGUCCUUUUUGACGCGCGUUGAUGCCCCAAUCCAACCCGUCGGUGUUAUUUUUCAUGUGUUUUUUUUUACUUUUUGUUGCCUAGUUAUGUCCUCCUAGAGAUAUAAUCUUGUAUUUUUUCCGCUAUAUUAAUAGAAAUGCACUCGUCGAGUGUUGUUGUUCAAAAAAGCUAGUUCAUGAGAAGAACAGGAAUAGGAACAAGAACAAGCCGUUCUUUGAAGCCUGGCACUUGGGAGCAAAGAUUCCAGCAUCACGGCCUUCAGUUGCUCCGUAAGGUCCAUCGUCGUGCAAAGAUGCAACAUCGAUGCCCAUUACAGUCCAACUUGAGCGACGAAGUGUUGAGCAGAAAACAGUGUUGACGAUUAACAAAAGGUACUGAACCACAUUUUAUUUACCCAAGGUACUUGAAUCCGAGUUCUUUUCCUUAAAUGAUAUUGAACUGACGAGACACCUUGAUAGAGGUCGGCAACAGUUUUGUGCGACAAAAUCACGCUGUUUUGUCAGCCAGAUGCCUUACACGUAACUUGCAUAAAUGAUGUUGCAAUUUACAGCUAAAGCUGAAAUAGCUCUACAAGGUACUGAAAAAGAGUUUAUAACGCGACGUGGGCAUGCCCAGUUAGCUGAUCUUAACAUCAUUAAUGUCUCCAUGGAAUAAUUUAGAUACUACAGGUGUUUUUCUAGAUGACACUUAAGGGUGUCACAAUCAUUAUAGUUAAGUUCACAAUUACAAAACGCAUACUCAGUAGUUGGUACUAUAGCUGCACGCCAGAUAAAAAAAAAACUUUUUUCCUCUUAAAAUGGUUCUGUACUUUCUGUAAAAUUUAGCACCUUUGUUGAUGCAAAUCUUCAGGUUUUAGAAAGUAUAAAUAAAUUUUUGCAGUGCAUUGAACUCAUGGAAAUAUUCAUUUUUCUUUUUUCAGAUUGCGUCAAAAUACAUUCCUGAAAAAGAACAUAAAUCUUUACCAAGGGGAAAGAGAGAACAAGAAUAAUGAGAAACUGUCGAGUAGAAAAUGGAAAACAACAUACUGUGCUCAUGUGCAUCAAAGCCCAACUCAUCACACAGAUACAGCUAGAAUCAUGAACAGUAUGCACUAUGCAGAAAACUCAGGUGGAAUUUCAAGCCCAGAUUUGUAUAUAUCCUCGGUCCUCAGCAGAGGACAUCUGAAGCUUUUGUUCUAAAUCACUAUACAUUCUGAAUUUUUUUAUCAACCAUUUCCAUACAACCAAAUGGACACAUGUACAGUUAUACCUAUACUGAAAUGCUGAUGCACCAAAGAACAUGCAUCCAAGUUCUGCCACCUUUUUUGCUCAGAAUACAAUACAAAGUAAGCGAUUCACAGAGACAGUGAGAUAACAAAAAGUUGCCUCAACUAAUCGUCUUGACGUCUUCUUCAACACAAUUGCUGUAUGACAUCAGCGUACCCUCAUCAGCUGGGUCUUCCUCAGUUUCCUGCUUUCAUCCGCUUUGAUUCUAUUGUGUAAGCUUCGCUUUGCACCUUGCGCUUCGCCUGAGAGCUUGUGCCUCCAACACAUCCAGAGCAGGCAGACCGACGGACAAAAAUCUUGUUAUUGGGUAUGCUAUUCUCACUGAAGAAUUCUGCCAAUUUGUGGACCAUUAGAUCAUGCUUACAGCAGGUGAUGUGCACCAUCUUAAGGUUGGUGCACUUGAAUGAACUUGCCCUUGGAUUGAAACCCACUCUGCUGUUAUAGGCCUAAUGCAAAGAAAAAUAAUGAACUUGCUUUAGGCAUUGAUCAUGUGCUGAAAACACUCCAGAAUUCGUUGGGUAUGCAAAUUUUUACAUACCAUGUCAAGCUGGAGAAAAAGGUUCUCUAAGUUUGGCGAGUGCCCUAGCAUGGCUGCUAAAACAUCAAAUCCAGGAGUUAUACACCAUUCACCAAGAGUCAGAGUCUUCAGGUUUUUGAAGUCAGUGCAUGAUUUCGACUCCCUCGUCAGCAGCACCUGCACAUUGUACACAAUUGCAUUGUCCAUUGUAUUAUAAAUAUUCAAUCAUCCAAUGUGAUUUUCCUACGACAACCACCAGCUAAAUGAAUUACAACAUUACACUUUAUACGACAGUACUUCAACGUAGGAUAAUUAAAAAGGCACAGCAUUGCAAUCAUCACAGAUACCAAAUUGCUGGAUGGAUAGUUACAAACCCUUUACACUCAGUUCACACAUAACAACUAACAUUCCAUAAUGGCAACAUAUAAUUCUCUUGAUAUGAAAGAUAGUUAAGUUGUUAUCCUUUUAUUUUACCUCAAGUGAAUUUUGCAAUGUUUAAGAGAUUUUGCCUUUACACUGCUGAAGUAACAAUUGUGCUAGCCUGAUGCUAUAUCACGAAAAUGAAAAAAAGCAUCUUCUGGCCGCAACAAAAAAUCUGUGGGGCUUAUAUUUUAGGACAUCAAACUGUAAGUUAGGAUCAAAGUUCAGUAACUGUAAUGAUUGAAAAAUUUUCCUGACAUUGAACAGGUGCAUUAUUAGAUUUUUCAGUAGGAUAGGAAACAUAGGAAAUACGAUGGGUGAUACUGAAACGAGUAGAAGGCAUUAGAGAAGAGAAGAAACUUGUUGAUGUAGCUAGAUGUAUUCACAUGAACUGCACAGAUCCAAUAGCCCACUGAAUUAUCAGUAGGGAACUUCAUAACAUUUCCAUUAUAAAACUACAAUAGGUACUUACUGAAAGGAUUCUGAUUGAUUGGAGACCAAUACAUUAUUUUAGACCUGCAAGGUUACCAUUGUUCCAAACUUCUGAACUGAGGCAUAUUUAUUUAAUCAUUUAGUCACCGACUUAAACAUCCAAAUUUUAUUGUAAAUAAAUUUAUCACAAGAGAAUGAUCUAAUUACUCUCUUAGAUACUUCCCAUGCAUAGCCAUCACUAAAUGUUGAGAAAAUAAACAUCCACAGGGCACAAAAGCACAUAAAGAUUAAGAGCAGUAGUAUCAGCAUGGUGAGUGAACUGUACCUCUCCUGGAUGAGCUAACAGCUGCAUUGUUUUAACAUGUGAGAGGCUCAAAAGCAUACCAACACCACCAAAAUUACCAGAAACAUUGCUCCCAUAAUUUCCAUAACUUUCCACAGGUUCACCCGCACGGGAUUUAUGACCAUAAAUCAAAUACUUGUAUGCUGUACGUAUAUGCUCCCUUGAAAUCUCACCAUAGCCCACAAUACGGUCAUCCUCCUCCUCAUGACUAGGUGCAGACCGAUCAGAAUCAUAGAAGCUACUACUAUCAUCAGAUUCGUUGUGUUUGUUAUCACCAGAGUCAUUAGCAGAAUUAUCACUGCUGUUAUCAUCUGAGUCAUCUUUCUCCUGUAGCCAUUGGCAAUCUGGAAUCAAGCAAUAGUCAUAAAGAACAAUGGUCGCUGUGACUAGGAACUCCAUUUUCUGGAUCAGAGGAAAAUGCUGAAAAGGUUCGAUGCAGCGCAGCAAGACCAAGUUCGGAGCAUGAACCCUGAAUCCAAUAGCGAAUUUGCAGCUGAUCAUAGUCAGAUACUUCAGCGAGGUGGACCCAAUCAUGCCCUCUACCGAACAAUCAUUAAGCUCUAGCUCUUCCAAAGAAGUGCACCUAGAACAGAGCUGUCUGAGGGUGGUGUCAUCCAUCUUGACACGCGAGAGCUUCAAGAUCCUAAGGUUGCAAUAACCAAGGCCGGAGCACUCAGGGUACUUACGUGGUGCCAGUUGCUUGAUAUUGGAUGCUGCUAGCAAUCCCAAGUUUUGGAUCCACGGAACAAAUCCAAAAUUUCUGCUGAACUCCAGCGCGACAAGGUUCGGAGCAUAAACAGAGAGGUGUUUGAUGACUUGGCACCUGAUCAUGGUCAAACGCUCCAGCAAGAUCGGCUGAAUCCUCGUCUCGUGCGAUAUGAGACAAUUCUUGAGCUCCAGUUCUUUCAAACAAGCGCACCUAGAGCAGAGCUGCGUGAGGGUGGUGCCAUCCAGCCGGACAUGGAUAAGCUUCAAGAUCUUGAGGCGAGUCUUGACGAAUUCAUCGCCGUCAACAAUGAAGCUCGUGUACUCCGGCGUCGGGUUCACGUGGUGAUGCUCCCCGGAGAGCUCGAUCUCCUCCGCGCCGUGCCUGACGGCGUAGGCGAUCCAGAAGUUGGCGUCGCCGUCGGGGUCCUCGUGGCUCCAGCAAAGGCGGAGCGAGUCCAGCGGUGCAAAAGGCCGCCGCCGGAGCAGCAGGUUCUUGACGAACGUGGCGAACGCCUCCGGCUGGAGCAUGUCGUCGGCUGCGGCGCCGUGGCAGCCGCACGGCUGGCGGAUGUCGAGGCCGCUCGCGGAAGCCCACAGGUUGCGCCACCGCCUGGAGAGCACGCACGUGCGCACCGCCUCCCACGCCUUGAGGUGCGACAGGACCCGGAGGAGGACCCGGUCGGGGAGGCCGCUGAGGCGGUCGCCGCCUCCGGGCGCCCCAUGCGCUGCUGCGCCUUCCGGGGGCAUUCCGUCGAACGGGUUACCUGCACAGACACGGCGGCGGGGAUGAACACCUAAGGGAUCAACAAGAAACAAGAACUGCAGAGCGGGCAAGAAACCAAGAAAGGCGAGCGGCUCGUGGCAUUGGGUCGAAGGCUCGAAGCAGAUUCGCAUCCAAGAACACGAAGAAGAGGCCGCAAGAGAAUCUCGCAGGCGAUGCAGCGGUCGAGCGGAAGAAGGAAGAACUAACCGAGAGGUCGAUGGGUUCGAGGAGCGGAGCGGGUUCUUGCUGCCUCGAGCGGAGCAGAGCUUCUGCUCUGUUUACGUUGGGGAAGGGAGGGAAGGGAAAUUAAUCCCCAAAAAUGGGAGGACGGGUGGUUGCCUGGGCCGGUAAGCGGUGGGCCUUAUAUGUACAAUGACAAGGGCAGGCCGGCAGGCGGCAGGGAUCCGCAAAACUUUUUAUUUGAAUAAAAUUUCCACAUAAUUUUUGAGAGAGCAACAAUUUGUUUAAAUUUAACUAUUCCACCCUCUUUUCCAUUGGAAGCUAGCAAAGAGGGGAAAAUUUGAUGCAGUUUGGAGUCUUCUCAGGCCGUUCAAGCCAAGAUCAGGAACAACUAUUCAUUUAUGCGCCGUUUUUUCUUUCCCAAUUAGAAAGAUUGGUUAAAUUAAGGCCAAAGGCCAACGGUUUCUACACCGACUAAAACACUGUAGAUUGUAGAAGCUCCUUUUUGCCUCUAAAUUGCCGGCACUUCCAGCUAGAGUCAGAAGGGGAAGGGACCCGAGAAAUUAUGUUAAAUUGUUAAAAAAAGGUUUAUUACAAUUAUUUUUGAAGGGUCAUAAUAUAACCAAAAAAUUAAAUUGGAUAUUUUCAGGUGGCGUUUAGAUGAUACUCAAUAGUUUUAAAGUUGUACAUCAAACGUAUCCCCCUUUUUUCUCUUCUAGAAAUGCCACCAUAUUUAUUGUAAAAUUUAGCCACACAAUUGUUGAUACAGUUCUGCAAGUCUAAGAAUUUAGUGUUCUUGAGUGCAAAAGGGUAAAUAACAAUGCCACAGUACAAAAUCCUCACCCAAGAAUUUAUUUUCCCUUUUGGGAUUGCAUCAGAAAUUCUGAAUACAUUCCUAAAAAGAAUAGAAUUCUUAGCAGUGGAGAGAGAGAGAGAGAGAGAGAGAGAGAGAGAGGAAUGGAUGAAGAAAACUCAUUCCUUUGCCUGUAGCCUUACUCACCAUUCAUAGUCACACAGAAUCAGCUACAGUCAUGAAAAGGAUGAAGAAGACUCAGGUCAAAUUCUGUCACCAGAUUUAUUCAGUAAGCAUUGCUCCUCAGCAGAGGACAUCUGAAACUUUUGUUCCAAGUGAAUGUACGUUCUGAAUUUCAGUCGGCCCUUUCAAUACAACCAAUGAACACUUGCAGACUCAUACCUACACUGAAUUGAAACCUCACCAUAGGAAAAUGCCUCACAAAUUUUGCCACUAUCUUUCGUUGAGAAUACUUACAAUCUAAGCUAAACAACUCACUGACACAGUGGGACAGCAACAAGCUGCCCAACUCAUUGACUUCACCAACACAAUCAAAUUCGAUCUUGUAAUUCAUAGCAGUCAACGCAGUCGAGUUCCUGUAAUUCUUCAUAAUUGUGCUUGGGCUUCAUGUGAAAGAAAUCGGUGCUCAUAGCCUAACUGGGGGAGAUGAUGAAUUAGGCAAUUUUAAAAACUUUAACCUAUGGCUCAUACUAGUUAGCACAAAAUAUGAGCAAAACAUAUUAUCUAGAUGUGCAACUAGGGUUCAACUAGUAUGAAGAUCUCAUCCUAAAGAGUUUUGCAACCUAUAGUCAAUCCUAGCAAGAUACUACACUAAGAAUAUAAAGGUAGACAAGUUAUAAUAAGAAAUGCGGAAGCUUAAAACAACGGGAUGAGAGGAAGCAAACUCUUGACACAAAGAUUUAUUCCGUGGUAUUGGUAGGCACAAAGCCACACCCCUAGUCCACGUUGUUGAAGCACUCGCUAAGAGUAUCGCUUCCCAGUUACCGAAUCUCUUCCGGAACUCUCUUGACUCGCCACCAAGUCUUAGCCACGAAGGCUCUCGUCAAGUCCCCGGUCACCUCGAUCCGUCUCCACUAAAGAGCUUCUCCAUGAAGGAAGGGGAUCUCCAUAUCCAUGCACAAAGCUGUCGUCGCCGCUCCACACCAAGCCGGAGCGUUGAUGACUUGCCAGCGAGCCACCAAGACUCCAAGGGGCCGGCACACAGAGAUACAAGCUUUGGUUCACUCAAGAACCAGUACACAACGCAGCUACACCUUGCGAUCUCAUUCUAACUAGAGCUAGGGUAGCACUCUCACUUACAAAGCUUGUGCUAAACCUAAGGAUGCGAUCAAUGAGCUCUUUGGUUGGCUUGGAGAACUUCUUCAGAGUAUGGGUGCUUCACACGAACUCCAGCCGCCUCAGAUGACUUGGGGUGAGGCCUUAUAUAGGCUAGAGAUCCACUUAUAGCCGUUAGUUGCUUUUCUGCCAAAAAGUUUAAAGCGUCGGUUAAACCGGUUACAGCUGUCGGUUUAACCGGUCACUCUGAAACUGCAUACUAGCCGUUGAACGUCUCCCUGCCAUGCCUGAGCUUGCUUGCAUUAUUGCACCGAUGCACCGUCGGUUCAACCGGUGCUGAAGACUUUUUGCUAUUCAACUUCAAAAAAAUCUCUCAGGCAAAUAAACAACCACUGUACCGACGCUAUGUACCAUAGCAUCAGUUCAACGGUGCCUCUCGCAUUUCUUCACUUGAUAUCCAUGUUUUCUUCAUAUUGCACUGACACCUCCCUUUAUGCACCGUCGGUUCAACCGGUGCAACCGACUUCUUCCUCACUUGAGCAUCAUUGCAACUACCAAUGCACCGACACAUUAUAUUCUUAGACCGUCAGUUUAACCGUCGCAUAUAUUUAUUCUAAACUUUGUCCAAAUUAUCUGUGGUCAUUUGGACCCCUCAAAUAUAUUCUAUCUCUGCACUGUCACUCCAAUUUGGAUACCUUGACAGCGAAUUAAAGUAUCUUGUAUAUGGAUUGGACUCCAUGCAUGGGAUCUAGAAAUUUUACAAAUUUAAGCUCACAAACUCGUUAGUUCCAUUGAUUAUAUUGUUAUACAAUCACUAAAAUCACAAAAGCCAUGUUUCAUAUAGUAUGCGCAUAUCUGAUGAUGGUCAUCACAACGGUGAGAACUGCGGUGCUUCAUCAAAAAUAGUUAUACUAGCCAGAUUAAUUGCUGUUUUUAAUCAUCAAUUACAAGAAGUCAUGAUGUCUCAGUUCAUUGUUAUAUAUAUAUAUAUAUAUAUUAUUUUGUUAUAAUGCACCUGGGUGCGUUUUGUAUAGGGAAUGCAUCCACCCUCUCAGUUGCAACCGGUUCGUGUUCAGUUCCAACCGGGUCGGUUUAAGUUGCAACUGGUUCACAUCCAGUUGCAACCGGAUCGGUCUGAGUUGCAACUGGUUCGCGUCCAGGUGCAACCGGCUCGGUCUGAUUUGCAAUUGGUUUGCGUCCAGUUGCAACUGCAAGAUGAGUGUAUUUUGUACAGAGAAUGCAACUUGUUGCAUAUAUAUAUAUAUAUAUAUGGUGACGAAUAACUUGUUGGAGACCAUUGUUUCUAGUUCAUGUGUUGGUCCCGCAUAUUAUCUUAUCUUGUCAUAGAACAAAGCUCUACCUGCAUUGUAUUGGGGAUUUUUUUUCCAAAUAUUAAUACCCACAAGGGUUUUAGGAGCAAAUUACCACACUCCUCCCUUCUCUAUAAAUUAUGAGGUACGAGGAGGAGACUUACUUGAUCACUGUUAUUUUACUUGCUCUGGCUCAUUUUUAGCCUCCAUCCCUCUUUCUCCCUUCUUCUCUCUGUUUGUUUGGAGGAAGAAAAAUCCCUCUACAUGCUGUGCUCAGCAAAAACAAAUUGAUCAGUUCAUCAAGUUUGGGCAGUCAAUUAAGUCCUUUGUCGUAUCAGUCUGAUGAUGUUGGGGUCAACUAAGAAAGAGUGAACAGGUCAAAAUAAUGGGCCGAUCGAAGGGUCAAAAUGGGAAUCGGCCGACUGGUUGAAAUAGGCCCAUGCAUCAUUCUAUGUUUUAUUUGAAUUUUUUUUCCAAAUUAAUACAAUCAAUUCGAUUGAGUUAGAUAAAUGUUGUGAUAGAUGUUGAAGCGUUUAGAAAAAAAAUGUAAUCUACGUUCACGAUAAAACUUUAUUGGCUUUUGUUAAAUUUGGGUUCACUCUAGCUAUCUAGUAUCAGAGCAGCUGUUUAGAAAUUAUAAUGGCAAAUAACCAGUACAAAUAAAGAUUAAGUUUGGGCUGCCUAAUUAUAACAAAGAACCUAAUAACCAUCUGCAGAUCUAUAAAUGUAGGUUAACUAAUUAAGGACUAAAGAGCAAAGCCCCGUUAAAGUCACUUAGAGUUCGAAAUAAUUUCCUCGAUCAAUCAAUACAAAAGCAUAUCAAAUUUUGAAACUUGAAUUUGAGUGGCCACAUCCGAAUCGACAUAGCCGACCUAACUUGCGAACUGAUCGACUCAUCCAACGCGGCGAAGACCAUGUCUUGGGCCGAGAGUGCCACAAUAUUUAUAGUCCAUGCAUAUAGGUGGACUUGGACGACGCCAGCCGACAAGUCGAACCUAACGAUGCGGUCUACCACAGAUAGAUCUUGCAUUGCAUUGUUAGCAGAUUUAUUUGUCUUGCAUCUUGAUGAGCGUCUUGAGUUAUGUUGAGAGAGCUUCACCAUCUUAUCAUCAGCUUCUUGGCAAGCAGCUUCAAUGUAGGUGUUGUUUUCUGGCUUCAAUAAUUCAGCCCUCCAGGCCGCAGCUACCGUGCCUGCAUACACGCAGAUUGGUCAUGCGGCUAAACAGGCCCACAGCCUCCCAACACCCAGUCGUCACACCCCUACGAAAGCUCUAGAUCAACUAACGUCAUUAAUAGAGUUGACAAUUUGUUUUCUUCUCAAAGGCACAAACAAUGCCACUUUGGAAUUUAUAAACAAGCUUUUCCUUUCUAGAAAGGAGGGUUUUAUUUAUCACCGCAUAACAUUUUGUACAUAAAAGGUUAAUAGAGGAUCUGAAAAAAGUCCAAUGCUACAACACCUUCCUUGCAACAUAAAUAUCCUCAAGAGCGCAAAUGUGACCGUACAUGCACACAUUCGAUGAGUUUAUUAAUCUGUUUGCAUAUUUUGCAAUUUAUUGGACUAAAGUGAUACAACCACACAACUUAUUGUAUUAUAAGUGCAAUUUACUCUAAGUUAUAAGACAUACGAGGGCAAAACUUUGACCAACAAUUAUUCUAUCAAUACAACAUUUAUACAACAUACACUCUUGGUUCUAAAAUAUAAGGUAUUGAAGGUUUCAAAAUUUACGCCCAAAUAUAAAGCAUCUUAGGACUUUUGGAUAAGUAUUAAAGAAAAUCAUUUAAUUUUUUUGACUCUUAGCUGUAUACUUACCUUUUCUAUUCCUUCCUCCCCUGUUCAAUCAUAGGAACAACUUUAAUUAUGAUAUGGUAAACGAAAAGCUCUUGGAGGGCACAUACAUCUUUUGUUCUCUCGCUUAAUUUAUCUUAAAAUUACUAGAAUGCCUUAUAUUACAGGACGGAGGGAGUAAAAGUAUAACAAAAAAUGAAUAAUUUUUAAUAAGUCUAAUACCAUCAAUUUCGUGUCAUAAAAAUCAUAGACCAAUAGAUUAAUCGUUAGCCAAACGUUUAUCCUAACUAACAAAUAAAAUAAUCUUGUAGAUGGAGUAGUAUAGGCCUCUCGGAAGUAAAUAAUUAUCAACUUUGUUCGUAUCCAUUUCAAUCUUCAUGAACUCGAUGCCGAUCGACCGGAUCUUAUCCUAUGUGCGAGCAUUUAGUUUGGCCACAAGACUCUCGAAUGAUUUGCAUGUACCUGUCAAUCUGUCAUGCCGAGACCAGAUACAUGCCCUCGUCAGCAGACAUGCACUGCGCUUUUCAGUUUUUACGAUUUUACCCUUGCGGUAGCUCGCGGCCGGGCAGUCGGCACCACCCAUCUCGUAAUCAAAUACAUAUAUAUAUAUACAUACAUAUACAUACAUAUAUAAAAGGUCUUCUUGUCAGGUUAAAAACAAUGAAGGAAGCAGGGUGAGUCAGAAGGUACUUCAUCCGCGCCAAAGGAUGGCUUUCUGCCAUUGGUGCCCCAAAACUUUCAUGUGUCUUCCCAAUUGGUAUAUCGUCUUCCUUCUUGUGUAUUCUUUGUGCUUUCUCAUAGUAGAAAUUUGUGCUACAAAGACUCGACUUAGGGCGCCAUUAAUACUCUCUUCUUAUAUGUAAGGCCACUUCAAGUGUGAGUUCUAUUUUCAUUAAAUAGAAUGCAAUGUCGUGAUGACAUGGCAAGAACUUUGAACAGAGCAAUGCAAGGUGUUUCAUCUAGAUGAAACCAAACGUGCACACCGUUUCCAAUAAGUUUGUCUCUUGUAAACUCCAUGUUAAUUUACCCUUUACGGUUCUGAAGCUAGUAGCUACUACAUUAAUUCGUCCUUUAUAAUAUGUAGUGACUCCCGUCUUCCAGAAAGGACGACGGUCGGCAUCGGCUUCGUUCAGAAAGAGUCCUUUUUCUUGUCUACUUUUAUAUGCCGGCUUCGGAAAGAGUCCUUUUCUUGAUGCCUAAAUCUAUGGUUUUCUAAUCUACACGUACUAUCACGGUGGUUAUACCUAGCCCCACCAGCCCAGCGUUGGUCUGACGGAUGGCAGGAGUAACGCCACGUUCAUCCGACUCAUAGCAAGGCCGAUCGGCCAUAUGUCCUCUUUGCACAUCAUUUUUCAUUUCCCCUAGUUGCGGCAUGAGUCAGCAUCGACUGAUUCCUUGUAAGUUUUUAAACGUGCCUGAGCAUAUAUUUUAUUACUAGCAGAUCGAGCAAUGGCUCUGGGACAUCAGUCGGCCAGAUAUUAAUUUGCUUGUGAUCGUACAAAUGAUCGAACAACUUGCAUGUCGGCAUCGUGAUGAGUUCGACUCGGGAGACGUACGUAAUAGCCCAGGCGGAGUGAGUCAUCAGUGAGAGCAGCCAUGGCGCACGUGGUUCCAACUUCUUCUGUGCUCGGUAGUGGCUAAGACCAAGUAAUGCUAGCUACGGGCCCGGCCGGGCGUUUUCAGAAAUAAAAGAGGUAGGUGAUCCACCCGGGGCCCCAUCUCAAAAUAUAACCACCGGAUUCUCCCGUUUGGUAGGAAACACCUCCGUCGAGCUGAUCGAUCUCUUUCUCCUCCAUCUUCUUCGUCCUCGUCCGAUCCGGAUAGAGAAGAGAGAUCGUUGGUUGAGCUUCACGGAGAUAGGGUCUAUGGAAACGGAUCAGCAGCGCUCUACACAGCGCUGGGAGCGACUCCGGCGAGCGGCGGAGAGCAACGAGUUCUUGAUAGAGAGAACUGAUACAUGGGACGAUCGGGUGGAGCAUGAUGCAGGUGACGACCUGCUUAUGGAAAGAAGGGAGUCUCUGGUGAAGCGGUGGCGGUGGCUGAAAGCCGUGUCCAUGGUGGUGUUCAGUGGCCGGCCGGCGUACAAGAUGGUAAGAUACGUCCCUUCACCUUCGCACAUCUUUUUUUUUUAAUCGGUUUGCUCCAUUUCUGUCAUCUGUCCACUGACUUCUUCCUUCAUUACAACCUUUUGCCUUGUUUCUCCCAAACUAUUCUAAUUCGACCAACUCACCCGGCCCAUAAUAGAAUUUGACUUUUGUGUUUUUCCCCCACAUAUUAGUAGGGUUUUAAGCUCAAUUUUGUGGGAUUAAACAUGACUUCAAAACUAUGUUAGAAAAAUAUUUCGAUACUUAUUGUGAGUGCUUUCGUAUUAAAAUUUGAUUAUAUCUUGCAACUUUGUUCCCCAAAUAUAUAGUUUGGUUACCCUUGAACUAGUUUUUUCUAUGCCAGUUGAAUAAUUCUUGUGAAGUAGGCUAGGUGUACACACGUUUUGUUCCUCACAUGCAUAAAAAGUUUUGUUAACUUCCAUUCCACAUGAGUAACAAUUUUUCAAAUAUGAAUUUCGUGUCAACAAUAUGAAGUAUUAAUAAAUUUAUUUCAAAACAAUCCUACUAGGCAGAUGUUUAAAAUGUAAGCCAACUCAUAAUUUAGAAUUUACCAAUUAGUGUAAAGGGACAGAAUGGUCGGCAGGAAAUUCCCACCUAGUAAUUGGACAAAAUCGGUCCCCCAGCACAGUGGAAUAGGUCCAGGGAGUUGAAUGAGUCAAUUUUUGUAUUAUGGUUGGAAGGGUGGCGAAUCUAAUAAGUAGGAAGAUCCAAUAGCUGGUGGUAGUUCAUUGUAUUUCUCCCAUAUACCAAUAUAUCUAGUAUACAACAAAUUUUAUUGAUAAUUUAUCUAAAUCAUUUUUUGGAGACUUAGUAACAUCAUUGUGAUACUGAUCAUCAAACCUUUAAAGUAAUUUAAUUGUCAAUAUUAUAUCAUCAAGUUCAUUCUAUACACAAAUUUUGGUCUGUGCCACCUGAAUUUGCAAAAAAAAAACUUACAUAAGAGAAAGCUAAGGAAAAGAUGCAUUUAAAUACUACAACAUCUCAUGCUUCAAUGGUUUCUGUAUUAGUACUUGGAGCAUUUGCUAUGUUUAACUACACAUUUUCAGCAUUUAAUAAGGGUAGGAUAUAUGCAUGUAACUGUUUGUAAGUGAGUGUGCAUACAUAUAUGUAAGCGUCUACAUCUGUGUUCUAGUCGCAGCAAAUAGAGCCUUCACAUCAGCCCACGGAGUCUCAGACUGAUCAUUUACUGGCGGCAGCUAAGACAGAUCUUGGGGUGAACCGUCCACAACCAACGACGACUGCUCAGGUUAGUUUCGUGUCCAGUUGUUUCUUGAUCAAGCAUAGCCUGUAUAGUUUUGAUCUUUCUGCCUGUGUUUUUUCUUGCAAACAUUAAACCAAUAUAUUUUUUCAAUAGGAAAGACCCACUUAGACAUACCCUCUCGCCACAAUCAAACAUCAACAAUUGCAUCUACAUUAAAUAACUAUAAUAAAACCCAUGAAAGCAUUAUAAAUUAUGGGUAUUAGAAUCAGAAUUUAUAUACCACACCUGUGCCUAAAUUUCCUCGUGAAUUUUUCCUUGAACGGAGUAGGGAGGGGUGGUGGAUGGAGGGCGGGCCAUGCUGGCAACCCAAUGGAAGAGGGUGGCGGUGCGUGGGGAGCAGUCGGCGUGAAGGGUAUAGAGAUGGGGUGGGAUAAUAAUAAGGCAAGAGAUCCAAGCUAUUGAUCAUAGAUCCUAGGAUAAAAAAUAUUAAGUAUGGAGGGAGAGGAAAUAUCUACGUUUGUCCUAUACAACCCCCUCAGUUUUACUUCUAACUGUUAGAGCCGUAUAUUUGCACCUUCUGCUCACACAUUCACCUUAGCUUUUUUUAAUAUUGCCUCUAAAACAAUCACCAUUAAUCAGAGAAAAAAGGAAAAUAUUUAUCUAUCUACCAGGUUAUAUCAAAUAAAGUAUUUUAGAUGUUAGGGUAUGUAUAAGCAUCAAUAAUCCAACACGGAAUCCGAUUAUAACAUUUUUAUCGAAAUGAAUGUGUUAAUUCAAUUAUUCGAAUGGCUUUGGUUUAGAGUUCCAUGUUAGAUUGAAAGAAGUAAUUAAUACAUUGGUUAGCCUAAAAAUAUGUUUACAAGUUUGUUCACCAAUGUUGUAAAGUUGUAGCAAUAAAGUUAGGCCUAAAAAUCUUUGAACUAAUUAAUACUGCAGACUAAAUAAAGCUUUACAUAUAGAAAGAACAUAUGCUGCGAAUCCAAAGUUUAGCAACUAGUUGACCGUAGUUGCUGUUAUGCGGGAACUUCACGAUUGUCGAAUACACUUAUGGUUACAAUGACACUUUUCAUGUAUGGAACAACUUAAUGGACAUUAUUGCAAUAAAUGUACAUUUAUCUAAACAUUUGGUGUGCCUUUUCAUUGCAGGUACAAGAUUUGCAAUCUCCACGACACACGACUAAGUUAAGAAGCAAUAAUCCAGUCCCGGAGGUUGUAAUAAUGGAUGUUGAACCAAACCUUCCACGAUCAACAGAAACAGCUCAGGUUGGUUUCCUGACCCGUAACGUUGUAAACUUCCAUUAUCCAGUGGACGAAUGCAUCACACGGCUAACUCCAGUCUUGUUUUCCAAGUGCUUUAUUCGCAAAUUUUUGGGGUAGGUAGUUGGCUCAUCGCCAUUUUGGGGCUGUGCUGUAGUGUACGAUUAAAAAAUUGUUCACCAAUGUUGUACAGCUGCAGCAAUGCAGUCUACAAACCGAUUAAAAUUGCAAAUUAAAUACGGCUUUGUCGAAUGAGCAUGCACGGAGAAUCCAAACUUUAGCAUCUAAUAGAUGAUAGAGUUGGAAAUUCAUGAUUGGAGAGGGAUUUGUCGCGCACAAUUAUGAUUACAAUGCAAUAACACUUUUCUUGCAUGGAACGACUUAAUGGACAUCAUCACAAGUUUAACUAGACAUUUGAUGCCCCUUUUCAUGGCAGGUACAGUCUUGGCUAUCUCCGCGGCACGCUGCAAAAUCUCCCAAUAAUUCAGUCCCUGAGGUUGUAGUAGAUGUUACAUCGAACCUUCCACGACCAACAGAAACAUCUCAGGUUGGUUUCCUAACCUGCGACGUUCUUACUUCUUUAUCCAGUAGAGAUGGAACGGAUCACAUGGCUAGCUCUGGUCUUUGUUCUCCAUGUGCUUUAUAUUUGCAAUUUUUUAUCGUCAUUCCGCAGCUAACCUUAAUUUAAUUUAUUAUCCUCUGGAAUAAGCAGGUGGUUGAUAAGAUGAAAAAGGAGCAACAGGGGCGUUGCCUCAAAUACUCACAGAAGGCCCUUGGGUUUGCCAUCUGCACGCUCAUCGGAUACGCAAGUGCUGUAUCACUAUCACCCAGCAGCAAUGGCGGCAACGAUGGCAAGAAGGACAACGCGACUUUCAAACUCGCCAUUGCACCCUUCUUCGUUGCCAUCUGCACUGACCUCUUCUCGUUGAAGACGAAGGCGAAGCAGGGCAAUGUCUUGGUCUACCUCUCAUCAUUCCAUCUGAUGCUGAUGAUAUACCUCAUAUUCAUCUCAUUCAACAUGGACUACGCCUACGCCAUCAUCUUCCUUCCUCUAGUGGCUGGUGCCUCCCUCCUCCAACAAAAGAUAUGGCCUGAAGGGCAUCGACAAAGCACCGAUGAAAAAGUCAGUAAAGACCUAGACAGCAUGUUCGACUUGUCUGCUCUUAUCCUCAACUGGAGCACCUUUAUCAGCGCAAUCAUGGCCAUAUUCAGGGACUUGAUUCCUUCUGGGCAAAACCAAUACAUAUCAUUCAGCGCUGUAGGGCUCUUGUUCUUCCUCACUAUCAUUCUAGGGCUCUAUCUGAUGUUGAUCACAACAGUGAGAACUGCGGCACUAAAUCUCCGUGCGAAGUACCUCGAUGUCCUGCUUAUCUGCUUGCUCGUGAGCACUCUAAUCACCGCCUUGAUCACGUUUAUUAAAAAGAAAUAGUAGUGAGCAUCAAAUUCUGGUGAGCCUCGCUCUUUAUCUCUAUUAUUUUAUUGUUCAGUCUCAACUAUUGGUGUGAUUAUAUUUCAUGUUUUCUUUAUUGACAGUGGCCGAAGCCGGAUGAAAAAGUCCUAUGCAGCCAGGUCGAGGUGUCUUGGAAACAAAUUCCACUUGGUGUGCAUAGAUUGUACAUGUACUAUGGUGAUGAACAAUUUGUUGGUGCCUUGCUACUGCAUAUUGAUGUGUUGCACCUCCCACUCAUGUGCUAGGGAAAGAAAUAGCCCCUGACCCCUUCCCUAUAUGACGACAUAAAUCAUUGCAAAGAGUGGUUGGCGCUAACGUGAAGUAAUGCUCGCUAACCUGCUGAUGAAACUCAUCUCAUUCAAUAGCCCCUGAGGCACUGACCCCUUUACCUAUUUGAUAUAAAUCAUUGCAAAUAAAACUACUGUGUUCCGUAUUGAUCGGCUUCCAGAGUGUACAUGUCUGUUUGCGUGCUCCCAUGCAUGUGUGGCCUCGUGGUAUUUUGGAAGCAUAUCUCCACAAAACUCUGCCAAGUGUAUGCAAAUCCGAAGAAUCAAAGAAGUGAAUUGAACCUUAUGUAACACCCUAAUUGUCAAUUUAGGAGUCUAAAUAACUUUUUGCUAGAUUUCGUAGGAACCAUAAGGUUUGGAUUUAUCCAAGUUCUUUUGAUUUUAGAACAUUCACCACGAAUUAAAAAUAAUUUACAUAGCCAUAAAAAAUUAUAACGAAAACAAGUAUUGUGCAUUCUCAUAUUCUCAUGCUGCAUUGCAUUAUUUUAUUUGUUUGAGUUCAAUUGAAUUUAAAUUUUUAAAUUUAAAUUCAAAUAAAUUUUGCUUGUAUCUUCUUAUUUCAAAAAUCGUUUCUCUUUCUCCUCUCUCUUUUCCCUCUUUUCCUUCCCAAGCCGAGCAGCCCAAUACCUCUCUCUCCCUUCCUUCUUUUGGCCCAGCGACACAGCUCUUUCUCUCUUUCACCCUCUCAAUUUUCCUCCCACGUGGCCCAGCCCAACCGGCCCAGCCGCUCCCAAUCCAGCCUGCUCUGCCCUUCCCUUCCUUUCCCCUUCUCUCCCGUCUCCCGCACGGCCCAAACCCUCAGCCCAACCCCCUCUCUUCCGGCCUGCCCCGCCUGUCACACCCUAAAAUAUUUAAUUUUAAGAUGUGAGUAUCUUUUAAAAUGUGUUCAUCUAUAAUUAGGGUUUUCCCAGAAUUUUCUAGCAAUUAUUCUCAUUUAUUCUAGAGCUAGAUCCAUUUUUUUAUUUGAAAAGCUCUAAAAUUCUUUUUCAUGAGUCCUAAAUAUUUUAUUUGGAAUCCUCGUGUCCCAAAUUACCUCCUGAGUUUCCUCAAAAAUUUUUAGGAUUCUUCUGGAUAUAUUUUUCGUGGUUUAAACUAUUUAUCUGGACUUUUCUAGAUUUAUUUUAAGCUUAAAAAUAUGUUCUGGAAAAUAUUUCUAUUUUGAUUUUUAUCGUAGUCGGACCGAGCCGUAUCUUGUUGUACAUCCUUUUAACCUUGUCCUCUCCGAAUUCUUAAGAUGCCCCAUCGAGCUCCUGAUUCUCUAACAUUCCUCCCUGAUCAAGUCACGCUUGAAAACGACGCCUCGUGGCUCGUCUUCAGUGUUUUUCCGACGAUGUUCGAUCACCGUUAGCCCCAAUAAUUCGGCCUGAUCCUUUCCUUCUGUUUUCGCGCUCCUGAAUAAACUGUUCGUGUUCAACCAGCACUGUCAGCUCGUUUUCAUAUUGGGCCCUCACUCGAACCUGUUUCGGCUCAUAACCGAACUCACUCGGCCAUUCUCGUUUCCUCUUUCCGUUACCUCUUCUAUCCUCUCUUUGCUCGUUAAAUUGUGGGACCCGCUGGUCAGCCCAAUCUCGUCUUCCGUGGGCAAUCCGGACUCAAGAACGAGUCCCAACCCGAUGCGCCGCCGCGUCCUUAUCCUCGUCCGAGUUGGAGCCCAGCAGGAUAUGUCCAGGCCUAUUUAAACGUAGCCUGCACCUUUCCUUCCCCGUAGCCUCUGCAUGGCGUCCCUGCUGCCCACGACGCCAGCGCUAGCCCCCCGUGCGCUGCCCUUCUUCCCCGUGUCACCCCCCUACGCGUGCUCUUCCUCCUCCUGCACGCCGUGUGCCCCUCCUGCCCCUCCUCUGCCUGAGCCCCUGCCUACCGCCGCCCCUGGCCUUCCUCCUGCUCGCGUCGUCCCUACGCAGCCAGCAAGCCGUCUCUGCCAUACAGCCGCACCAGAACCUCCCCAGCGUCGCGCCCUGCGUCCCCCUGUGCGCCAACACCCUGUCCGAGCUCCUGCGGGCCCGAGCCCAUGCACCACAGGACGUCGCCGCCCCUGCCCUGUGCGCGCCUUGCCCUUCCCUGUGAGCCGCGCUCGCCCCCUGUGCCACCCCCUGCCCAGCGCCGUUGCCCGGAGCAGAGACCAGAGCCGCUGCCCAAGAACCACCGUGGACAGACCGCCGCCGCCCACUUCUUCGACGAAAUUUGACCACCACGAUGUAUCCUCGCGGUAAGUAAGGUAUGGAAUCGAAUCCCUUCGUCGUCCUCUUUCAUUUGCUCCGCUCCUUGCGACCUCUCAUACCUUAGAACGACGGGAAUUUGAACAACGGUGUCCGCCAGUCACCAUUGUUGCCUGUUUCAAGCUUUUUGCAAUUUAGUCCUUGAAGAAUUCUGUAAUUAUCGUUUAAUUUUCUACGUCUUGCGAAAUUUGCAGAAAACCCCCUGGAUCUAUUACAUCUUCUCAAUCCAGCCCCACCAUGGAAUUUUUCAGAUCUAACCCUGAACUUUUCCUAAUUUGCAAGCACUAUUUCCUGUGUCUUGUAAUUCUUUCCUGCUAACCCCCGAAGUCUAUAGUUAAUUACAUAUAGGUCCCUGCAGCAUUGUUUCAUACUUUCCGCGUUUUAGAUCCGUUUCGAUCCGUUCCUUUUGCGUUAGUCUUCUAAAACCCUAAGCUAUCGUUUAGUAGUGUUGUUGUACCGUAAUUCCUAUUUUUAAAAUUAGAUAUCAAUUUAAUUUGAAUAAUAUCCUCUCAUCUAGUUUUCCGAAAUAAAAUCCAAUUAAGUCUUUACUCCGGUUUUCAUAAUUAAUGUUAUUUUGAUUAAUAUCAACUUAAAUAUAUUUGUAAUUUUAUUUGUUAGUUCAACACAAAUCAUAUGAAGUUAUGCGUUUAUAUGCUCUCACUAGUUUCCUUUAUAAUUAAUUGUUUAAAUAGGAUGAUUUGUACAUUAACAAUUAUAUAUAAAAUUUGAUCAAGUUGUACUUCAUUUUUAUAAAUGCAAAUAUAAUAUAAGUUAAUUAUGAUUAGGGAUAUUUCUCUUUUAUAUCUUUUAUAUUAGCUUUCUAAAUUAAAAUAAAUGAAAGCCUAUAGUUCUUUUAUUUUUUUUAUUAACAUAAAUCUUCCGAUAGCUGUUUCUUUUCAAUUCUAGCUCCGUUUUCAGCGUUCCUUUCAUUCUCAUGAUUGUCGCAGCAAGCCCUAUCCUUUAGUACGCUCUUUUAAAGCUUCCCUUUUGUUUGGUGUACCCGUUCUUAGUUGUUCUUGUUUGUUUGCUUGCUUGUAUGAUUUGCUUGUAUGAUUUCGGCCCGAUGCUUGUGUGACGUUAGAAGGAGCGUGAUCCAAGAGCUUUGAAGAUUUAGAGUUUCAAGAACAAGAGUUGAAGACUCUGAGCAGGUAUUCUCUAAAAGAAAGGCAAGUAUUUCCUUGAUCAUGCUUUUAUCCUAAUAAUCACAAUAAAUAUAACUUUUUCUUUAUAUGCAUGCAUGUGUCCUAAUUUUGAUGAAUCCUAAUUAAGGAUAUGCCUAGUCUUUAUGAUCAUUCCUUGUCAACCUGUGUUUUACCUUUAUGUUGGGUAGCUAUUACUUAGUUGCUAUAUCUGGUUCUGGUUUGUGAAUAAUAUAUGACCAUGAUGACAGCAAUGAUGAAGUUACACCUGUUUUAUCCAUGUUCAUACUCUUUGUGCUGUUAAUCACAAGAUCAUAUAUUUUAAUCGGAACAUGGAGAACCACCCAGGAAAAUAGUGCAACCAUAAUCCUAUAUAGCUCUGGUCUUGGCUGAUUAAUUAGAUACUCUAGCUUGUGAUGAUCUUACCGAAAGGGCAAGAGGAGAGUGCGCUGAUGGGGUAUAGCCCGGUCCUCUUGGAGGCUUUGUUUAUGGUCCUUGGCUAAGGUACCACCUUAUUAGGGAGGGUUAUGACCACUGCGGCAUGAAAUCUUAGCGGAUUGUCAUAAGUUAGGGAAUCUUUGUAAAUACCUCGUAGUGAAUCCCUUGCCACUCACCUCGGAAGUGUUUAAGAGGCUAGCAACCUCGAGCAAAUUGGGAGACACGAAUUGUGGGUAAAGUGUACAAUCUCUGCAGAGUGAAAACUAAUAUAUCAGCCGUGCUCACGGUUACGAGCGGCUUGGACCAUCACAUGAUAAUUGAAUUUGAAGAUGAAUUAAAUCGUGGACCAUGUUUAUGGUUAUGGUUGGUUAUACUAUAUCUCUCCUAUCUCUUUAAUGUAUGUUUUGGUAUGAACUUAUAUCUUAGUAAUCAGGUGCUAAUAAAAUUUGACCAACUAAAAUUGCUUAUCGCAGUAAGCAAGUUAGCCUUUCCUUGAUUUUGGGCUUCAUGUCAUAUAAUUUCCAACACUUGCUGAGUACCAACCAUAAGUGUACUCACACUUGUUAUAAUUGCUGCUCAGAGUAGAAAGUGAUGUGAAGUCUUUUGAACAUGAUGCUGAGUUCUAGGCUUGCGCAACCCCCGGUCGAUUGCCUGUGAAGUUUGGAGUAUUUGUUUCCAGGAUAAGCUAUAUAACUCUGAUAAUUUUUAUAGUCUUUUAAUUCUCUUUUCGUGAUACUAUUGCUGAUUAUUCACUGAUAAAGUCUCUAUAUGUAUGGAACUUGAUCCUGAUAUACAUAUAGUUAUGCAUUUGGUUUUAUCCUUAAAAUCGGGUGUGACAACGCCCCCUUUCCUCCCCUUCCUCUCUCGCCGCCAGGUAGGACCUGCCGUCGGGCCCAUUCCCCACCUCGCGCCGCGCUAAGACUUGAGCCCGAGUCUGGCCGAGGCACGCCUCCCCGCACCACCUGGGCGCGCACGCAAAGGGCCCCGGCCGUUGCCCCUAUUUAAGGCAUCGCCCCCGCGCCCUUGACCCCAUCGAUCCGCAGCCGCCGCCUUUCGCCUCUAAGCCCAAGCAGUGCUGCCACCUCCGCUCGAGCUUGGCCGCGCCUUCGAACCCACCACCUCGCCGCUCCUUUGUCACCGCGAGCUGCCGCCGGAGGUUUGCCUUCGGGUAAGGAUCCUCAUCGGCCUCUUUCCCCUCUUCUUUCCCCUCCCUCGCCACGGCAAUUGCUCGCUGGAACAAUAGUGCCAACCGCUGCCGCCGUGCGCCCUUCCCCGGCCGCCACACCGCCCUCUCGACCUCCCCAUCGGGUUCCCCCUCACCCCCCUGGUCCUUCCCGUCCAAUCCGUGCUCGAAACGAGCCCUGGGCAGCCAUUUUCGGCCAAGUCCGGCGACCUUGCCGUUGCAUGCCGGCGCGAAACCCACCGCCGACAGCCCUGCGCCACAGCCCGAGCCGCCCUGCACGCCACCAGCUGUCGGAUCUAGAUCCCACAGUCUAGAUUAGAUCUAGACCGGGGUCAAACAGCCCAGUACCAACCAACCCUAGAAGUUUUUGCAACAGAGCCCCUUGGUUUUACGAAGAUCAACCCGCAGUCCAUGCUAGUCCAAAAUUAUUUGCAAAACGAUCCUUUUUCUUCUAUUUUGACCACUGGACUUUUCUAAAAUCUAAUCCGUUGUUCAAAUCUCUUUGUUUUUCAAAUCUAAACCCUAGAUUUUAGAUUUAUUUAUGUUUUAGCCCUCAGUUUCUUCAUCUGAGCUCUUUUAGUUUCAAAUCUUUUAAAAAUAAGCCCCUGGAACCAUCUUUUAUCCAUAAUUUCUCCGUUUUAACUCCGUUGUCAUUGAUUCUUGCGCUCACGCGAUCCUUGCGACACGUACAGUAGCUUUGUCUUUUAUUCUAUUUACAUUAUCGGUGUACUAUUUCUUAUUUAUUGUACUUUCUUGCUUGUAUGUACGUGUGUGAUGCGAUAGAUGGUGCGCGGCAGUUCAAGGAUCCGCAAGACCAAGGCUUUGAAGAUGCCCCUGAGCAGCAGCAGUCUUUGUGGAAGGCAAAUGCCAUAUUGCGGUCCUAAUAAAUUUUGAUAUACACACAUUUACUUUAUAUGCAUGCAUGUGUCUAUAACAUGAUGGAUCCCAAAACUAAGGACAUGCCUAGUUUUCUUCUGUACUUACUUGAUUAAACCUGGAUUGUUUACUUUUAGUUGUAGCUAUGCUAGUUGCUUAUCCACUUAGGCUAUGGUUGGCUAACUUGAAAAAAAUGCAAUACUUGUUUACUUCAUGUUCUGAAAUACUUUAUGGUGAUAACUAUAAGAUCAUAUGCUUUAAUUGGAACAUGGAGAACCACCUAAUAGUGCAACCACAAUACUACAUGGCUCUGAUCUUGGCUAAUUAAUUAGAAAAUUUAGCUUAUGAUAAUCUUACCGAAAGGGCAAGAGGGGUUGCUGUCAGACCCGGGGCCACGGGACUGGACGCAUAACGUAGUUUAAAGAGAUUUAGGAGAUUAAGUCCGUCUUAUCUCUUAUUUAUCUUAUUUAUCUCUUAUUUAUCGCUUUUAAAUAGGAGAUAAGGCUAACCGAUAUAGAAGGAAUCUACUCGAGAUAUGUUCUGGUACGGUUCCUUAGCUGGUGUUGAUUAGUAUUUUUGUAACCCUGAUCUCUCGGAUAUAUAAGGGAAGACAGGGACCCCUCUCAAAACAGAAGGUCUCCAGAUCAUUCUACACCAAAGGCAAUACAAACCACCAUACAGGACGUAGGGUAUUACGCACUUUGCGGCCCGAACCUGUCUAAACUUUUUGUUCCUUGCACCUUCGAGUUACUGAUCUCGGCGCCUCCUCACCCAAAACACCGGCAGCUGGCGCGCCAGGUAGGGGAGCGCAUCGAAGAUCUACUGGCGAACUCGAUGGCAUCUUUCUAGUUCACCAGGUGGCGGAUUGCUACCUUCAUGCAUGAGCAUCGGCGGAUCAAUUCAUCGAGUUCGAGAUCGGAUCCUUCAGCGAAUGGCUACAUCGACCUCAACUACUCGGCUCGACUUCACCUCGCGCUGCAACGUCGAUGCACCGCGGCUGUCGACCUCGACGACCCGGUUCAACUUCAGCUUGUGCCGCAAUAUCCGCGCGCAGCAGUGAUGAGUCCGACUACUUCAACUUCGCGAGGAUGAUCGGCGGCCUGCCGACGACUACAUCAACUACUCUCCUCGACUUGAAAACUAGUCGAAAUCGACUCCGACUAGUCGAGCUUCAUCAACAAACCGUCACAGCUCCAUCAACGAGCUCCACGGCUUCGUCGAUAUUCGUCCAUGAAUCAAGCUAAGUGAUUUACAUUUUCCGACUUGUCUUCACAGGAUUGGCUACCUUUUUGGGUACGCCUCUCGACGGGCAUGAAACCCUCGGGGGCUACGCCGUGAUCGACUACUCCUGGGAUGCUAGACCGACAGCCACAGUUUUGGUGCACCGAGUACUGGAGGCUCUGCCACAGACUUAAUGCACCGAGUGCUGGCGGCUUUGCCAUGGUCUUAGGACACUGACUAUGGAGCCUACGCCACAAGGUUGUGUUCUGAGUGCUAGAGGUUUCAUGAGACUACACCCUAUGGAAGUAUAGAUCUUUGCGUGUUGCCACACACGCUCUCGCCGACUACUUAUGCGUGUACAUCUCUCGAUGGGUACGAAACCCUCCAGAGCUACACAUCGCCGACUACUUUAUGCGCACCGCACAUCCUCUUUGUCACAUGAUGACUUUUUUUGUCUUCUCUUAACGGUUGCUAAAGUACUCGGGUAGCACACGCCUUAAUUCGUGAAACCUCGACUCUUCUGUAAGCCUAUGCUCCUACGCAUGCAUGCGGCUAAGCUCCCUACGCUAUGGUCUACGGCCAUCAGGGAUCAGGUGCUUAAACAUAACAGGCUAACUGCCCGGGGAAAUUACAUGGCCUAGCAAGAGCAAGACGCGAAAUUUUUACACCGAAUAAAUUUUGGUUCCUUCAUAUUAUUACUGAGUACUACUCGGUAUCUUCGUAUUAUGCUACAUAAUGUAUGCAUUAUCUUUUUUCAGAUCAAGCUUCAGCAACAACCCUCCAGGCAACACGGCGUGCCAUCACAGUACCGCUAGUUCCCAGGCUCGGGGGCUGGGCGAUGCACACUACUCGACAUGGCUCCUUGGCUCUCCUAGCUCGUAAGCUCGGGGGCUGGACACCGCAAAACUACUCGAAGACGACUUAUAUGAAGACUGAGAGUUUAGAAGAAACUCUAAGUCACUGCGCGGUUAAAUAAACCAGCGGGAGGCUUAAUUUCACUAUGCAGAAGGCGAAGAAUUCUUCUUGGGAUUUCAGAGUAACACCAAUGCCACGAUUCUUGGAUCCUUUUUCUCAAACCUGGGAGAUUUGGAUUCAAGACUCGGGGGCUAUGGGGUACAUGGCAUCGACUACUUAUUUUCGAAUUUAUUUGAAGAGUGAGUAAGGAAGAUUCAAGUCUGAAUUGACCCUCAGCCUGAUUCUUCGAUUCAACCUAAGGCUCGGGGGCUACUCCAUAUGGAGUGCGAUUUUUCAAUCGCACACCAUAUUAAAAAUAUAAUUCGGGCAUGAGCACCUCAUAGCUUCGAUGCAGCCAAGCAGGUACUCGAAGAAGGACUUCAAGACGGAGCUUCAAAGAAGCCGAAGACUGCUUCGAAAGUACUCAAUAAGUCUGCAGUACUCAGCUACAAAGAGCUCGGGGGCUUGUCAGACCUGGAACCACGGGACUGGGCGCAUAACGUAGUUUAAAGAGGUUUAGGAGAUUAAGUCCGUCUUAUCUCUUAUUUAUCUUAUUUAUCUCUUAUUUAUCCCGUUUAAAUAGGAGAUAAGGCUAACCGAUAUAAAAGAAAUCUACUCGAGAUAUGUUCUGGUACGGUUCCUUAGCUGGUGUUGAUUAGUAUUUUUGUAACCCUGGUCUCUCGGAUAUAUAAGGGAGGAUAGGGACCCCUCUCAAAACAGAAGGUCUCCAGAUCAUUCUACACCAAAGGCAAUACAAACCACCAUACAGGAUGUAGGGUAUUACGCACUUUGCGGCCCGAACCUGUCUAAGCUUUAUGUUCCUUUUCCUUUGGGUUCUAGUUUGAGAACCACUUGUUUUUUCAAAAAAGGGAUUUGGCUCAGGAUUGCCCAUUUUUCAUUCCAGGGUUUCUCUGAAUUUGGAAGUUACCACUUAGCAGGUUUCCAUACCAAGGCUCAAUACAAUCAAGUCCGUAGCGUCUACCGAUUUCGCCAUAUCCCCAUUUUCCUUUUCUUUGAAACCAGGAUUCCUUGUAUAAUUUCAUCCAUCUCUUAGUUUUUUUUGAAUCAUUGAAUUGAUUAUUCGACGUAGUCUAGCAGCUCAUCUCUAUUUGAGAGAGCCCGCUCGCUUAUUGCAAUUCAGAAUUGAAUUGAUUCUAUCGUUGAUAUAUUUGCAAUUCAAUCGGAAUGAAUAUAUCCAAAAGUUUUUCUCUCUCCCGCCUUCCUCCUUCCUUUUUUAGAGUAUUCAAAAUCAUACUAUAACGCUUGAUAUUCAUUCUUUGUUUUCUAAUCUGAAUUAGAAAUUUCAUUUGUUAUGAUUCUAUCUUCUCCUUAGUGAACUAUUUAUCCUUAAAUUAUUAACAAAUAAAAAAACAAAAUAUCUCAAAUCAAAAAUGUAUAUAAUGAUCGAAUGAAAAUGCUAAUCUCUUGGCAUUUUCUCUUUAUUAUAAUAUUCAUAUAUAUUCUUCUUUUAUAUGUAUUAGAUUAUUCGUCCGAGCCAUAUCAAAUUGAAAAUAUCUGAAAUCAAAUUCAAUAUAGAAUUUGGAAUAGAUUCUAUUAGAAUAGAAAAAUCCAUUUGCGAAUUAGAGAAAUAAAAAGAAAGUUCAAUAAAUUCUAGAAUCCUAUUUAAGAAUAUCAUUUAGUUAAGCAUAUCAAGCUAAUUUUCUCUUUAUGAAAUUCUAGUAUUUUUUUUACUAAUUCUUUUACUAAUUCUAAGUAGGACUUCCAAUUUCGAACUAGUUAAUAACUAAGAUUAAUAAUUAAGAUCUGACAUUUUACAGAUUCCCUAUAUAUAUUUCUAUUUGUUACACUAUUUCUGUUAUGUAAGCCCACUUAGCUCAGAGGUUAGAGCAUCGCAUUUGUAAUGCGAGGGUCAUCGGUUCAAAUCCGGUAGUCGGCUUUUUUCUCUAUCGAUGUUCCAUGAACAAGAAUUUUUCUUUUUCUCUAAAUUAAAUGGGGAAGCCAGGGUCUUUUAUGUCGUUCUACCUUACAAUUUUGCUAGAUACAAAGCAUAAAAAUAAAUAAUAUAUAUACAAAAAAUCCGGAUGUUGAUGAAAUUCCAUUUUUUGUGGUACUUCAUUUUUUGUGGUACUUUUAGUAGAUUUUACUCUGCUUAUCCUUUAGUUUAAUUCAGUUUGAAUUUCGAUGUAUUUUGUAAUGUAAAUAGAAUGAAAUUUAUUGUGUAAAAUGAAAUUUCAAUAAAAAAAAGGAGUCUUCAUGUCCCGUUAUCGAGGGCCUCGUUUAAAAAAAAUACGCCGUCUGGGAGCUUUACCAGGACUCACUAGAAAAACGCCUAAAUCCGGAAGUAAUCAGAAAAAGAAAUUCCAUUCUGGGAAAAAAGAGCAAUAUCGUAUUCGUCUUCAAGAAAAACAGAAAUUGUGUUUUCAUUAUGGUCUGACAGAACGCCAAUUACUUAGAUAUGUACAUAUCGCUGGAAAAGCAAAAAGAUCCACAGGUCAGGUUUUACUACAAUUACUUGAAAUGCGUUUGGAUAAUAUACUUUUUCGAUUGGGUAUGGCUUCAACCAUUCCUGGGGCCCGGCAAUUAGUUAACCAUAGACAUAUUUUAGUUAAUGGUCGUAUAGUUGAUAUACCAAGUUUUCGUUGCAAACCCCGAGAUAUUAUUACUACGAAGGAUAACCAACGAUCAAAACGUCUGGUUCAAAAUUCUAUUGCUUCAUCCGAUCCGGGCAAAUUGCCAAAGCAUUUGACGGUUGACACAUUGCAAUAUAAAGGACUAGUAAAAAAAAUUCUAGAUAGGAAGUGGGUCGGUCUCAAAGUAAAUGAGUUGUUAGUUGUAGAAUAUUACUCUCGCCAGACUUGAACUUAACGAAAAAAAGGAAAGGUUCAUAGAAUUUUUUUCCCCUUCCCCUUUCCCCGAACUAAAUUGACCUAAGGCUCUUAAUUCGUAUUUUCCUGUUCACCUAGCAGAAAUAGAUUAAACCUAGGAUCCUUUUUUCUUUUUUGUUAUUUCCUCGAUGUUUAUUUUACAUACCACAGUAAUUUGCUAUAGAGAAUUUCUAUUAAAUAAAGGUAUUAUUGCUGGAAUAAAUUGUUAUUUAAUUUGAUACAUUGUGAUUGCUAACAUUGAUGAAUUAAGAGAAACGGAAAGAGAGGGAUUCGAACCCUCGGUAAACAAAAGUCUACAUAGCAGUUCCAAUGCUACGCCUUGAACCGCUCGGCCAUCUCUCCUCCAUAAUCUUAUUAUGGAAAAUAAACUGAGUGAAUAGCGAGUUUUCGUAUUCCUGCAGUACAGCCACAACGGCUCGGGGAUUCCACGGCUCUAUGGGAAAAAUUCCUUUUCAUCUAAGUGGAAGGAUCCAGUAUUUUUUUUUACUAGGAAUUCUGCUCCCUCGAAAAGUUUUUCUUUGGGGAAAACAAAAAUAAAAAGAGAAUGGAAGAAUUCUUCUUAUUCCAUAAGAAAAUAAAGGAACCCUAGAAUUCUAUUUGCAUAAGGUACGUUACGCCAUACAAUCUAAAUAUAAAAAAGGGUAUGGGGCAAUUAAUGACUUUGAAAACGCAAAAUAGCUGAUGAGAGAAGUUGUUGUUGAGAAAUAGGAAAGUGGAAUGAAAUCUAGUCUUAGUCAAAUAUUUCAUAUCUCUUCUUGUCCAAACAGAAGGAAAAGAAGACAAUUUGAGCGGAGCGGAAAACCCAUACCUCUCUUAUCCAUUUAGAGCAUAUGUCGAUUUAUAAGAAUCGAAUGUUUUGUUUUUAUGUUAUUUUGUGAUAGAAUGAAAAGAAUUCUAUAUAGAAUGGUUGGGAAUUAUGCCUAGAUCCCGUAUAAAUGGAAAUUUCAUUGAUAAGACCUCCUCGAUUGUAGCCAAUAUUUUAUUGCAAAUAAUUCCGACAACCUCCGGGGAAAAAAGGGCAUUUACUUAUUAUAGAGAUGGUGCGAUUUGACUCUUUUUUUUCUUUUUUUUAGCCCUACCUACAUCUCAUUCUUACGAGAAAGAGAGGGGGUUCGCAUAGAGAGAAGAAAAUUUGUAAAGGAAACCCACGCUUGGGGAAGGUGAGGUGAACUAACAAUUCCUUCCGUCGUGUAUCCUCGAUUGAUGUGGCCUCAGAUGCUUCAAUUGUAGAUUGGAGUAUUGAGCGAAAGGUUACACCUACAGGAUAGGUUCUGUAUUACAGGCCAAUCUGACUCUACUAGUACCAAUAGGCAGCAUAGGGGAGAAAAGCACUACACCUCGAAAUAGGAAUCAACAAGAGAAAAACUUUGUUAGAAAUUAGCCCUUUCCUGAUUGGUAUCAGGGUUGGGAAGAAUGGUUAGGAUAGCAAACAACCAUCAGGUUUGUACUUUGGAUACCCU
rnacentral:lncRNA from 1 species